rnacentral:lncRNA from 1 species
UUUUUUUUUUUUUUUUUUUGCUUUUCCUUUCCUUCUUGUAUCGCUUGCCCCAAUUAUGUUACAUACAUUCCGAUAUUCAUCUAGUCUUUCCUGUCCCUCAAUACUACGUCUAGACAAACGAAUUGUAUCCAAAUUUCACUUUAGUUUGAAGCGUAAGGUGAUUCUAUGUAUACUUAAAUGAUAAGGGGUGGGGAGAUUUAUUAUUUUCACGAAAACCUCAAGGAUUUCUCUCUAUAUAACCCGUAAAUUUAUCAUGCGUAAUCUGUAACUCAAUUUCACUCCCCAAUAAUCAACUGUUUAGGGAAUCUCACUCUGUAUUUUGUUUAUUUUAAAAAUGAUAAUUUGUUAGGUGAUGAUAUCUUGAGCACUUGUCAACUAAUAUCAAAACCUAAAGAAACUUGUACUCAACUCCGUCUCAGUAACAAGAUGGAGGAGUCAUAAUUAUAUGACAAAGUACUACUACCAUUUUUCGCAUUAAGGAACCCUACAUUGGGGAGACAAACAUAAAUAGAAAAAUCCCUGGCCGCGAGGGAACUGGGUGAUGGAUCCUGGGUCACGUGACUCUCGUGAUGGCAUUGGCGUUUCAAGCUCUCAAUUGCUAAAAUGUGAAAAGUGAAAACCACUCCGGCGCGUCAGGAUAGAGGGGGGAAGAAAGCAAGUGGCAAAGGUAGAUGAUUGCAUGGUACGGACGCGCGUGGUCGGGGUGCGACUUUUAGACGCUACCAUGCUACGCUUUCCCUUGGGAGAUGACAACUCGAGGAUGUAUAUUAAACUCAUAGUUGUACGGAUCUUUUUUCUUUUCCCUUCUGAAACAGAUAAUAACGUGUACGAAUCUACGGUAUCAAAUGAUAUACUCCAACUUGGUAUAAGAUUAUCUCGCACGAGUAUAAUUUUCUGGAAUUAAAUUUAUAUAGUAAAACAAAGAGGAAUAAAAAGGAUAAUCUGAUGAUCUAGGUGGUCAUUUAGGGAUGUACUUUCUAUCUCACUUGACAUUCAACAAUUGAUCCCAUCCUCAUUCAAGUUUGGUGAUCAUUUUUUAUGUGGAUUUAUUAAGUGAAAAAAAAAAAUAUAUAUAUAUAUAUAUAUGCAAGCUUUUAAUUGAAUUGUAUCCCUUCUCAAUAUGGAAUAUAUAAUGGAAGAUAUUCAAGGGCAAAUUGUCAAGUUGGAUUUUUCUUUAUUCGACUUUCCUCAAAUUAAUUUUGCCUUAUAGUUUAUCCCUCUUCGAACAGCUGUUUUUUUUUUUACCCGACUUUAGAUUAUUUACUUAAUACAUUAUAACUUUCUUAGUGUGAUUUUAAUUUAGAUGUUGGUAAAUUCAUUAAAGUUGUUACAUGAUGAAUAUUCCUUGGUGAGAAUAUUGGUUGUUGAAUCUUUUGUGUUUAAUUGAAAAUAAAUGUGUGAGAUUUUAUGUUAGGUGCAUAAUUAUUGUAAAAUUUUAAACUACAAUUUCAAGUAAUACCCAUUGAUAUUUUCUUAUGCAAUGGAAUAUUAUGAAUUUCAUCAAGUUAUAAUCCACCAUAUGAAUAAAGCUUUUCAAAAUUGGCAUGCUAACUUGUAAACAUAAUUACAAUAGAUUUUGUUCAACCUUAAAUACAAUAGCUUCAUUGAACAAUAUAUAAACAAUUAUGCAAUAAUUUAUUCGAAAAUUGUUCAUUCAAUUAAUUUAUAUUAUGUCGUGUCUUGAUACUUUACUAACAGUAAACAUAUUCUCUACUUUCCCAUGUAAAAAUGGUCAGAAAUAUGAAAAAACAAAUGGAUAAACACAAGAAACAUGAGAGGCCUUUUUAUUUCGUGAGGGGGAAAGGCAUGGCUAAUGUAAACGCAUUCUAAGUCAAAUUCUAUAUUCAUAUGCAUUCAAACCUGUUAAUAUGAAUAUAUUUUAAUCAUAGUGUAAGAAAAAUUAAUCUUUGAAAGAAUACUUAUUUAAAGACUUUGUGUAUAUGCAAACUUUAAACUUAGAUCAUUUAAAGAAAUAAAGAGUUUGUAGCUAUUCGUGCACGUUUUGAGUGUAUUGACUAAUCAAAAAAUACAACAUUUGACCAAAAAAAAGACUAAUCAAAAAAUACUUUAUAUAGACAAAAUUUCAAAAAAAAUAUUUUUUUUUUACGUAAAUGAAAGGUAUUGAAGCCAAAACUUCUCAUUUACAUUCUCUCUCCCAUACCACCCAAUUUAUCCUUCCUACUCCAUCCCCAAUAAAAAAUACUUAAGAAUUGUUUACUUAUAUAUUUUGUAUUGGGGGGGGGGGGGGGAGUGGUAAAAUAUGUGUUGAUUGUUAGAGGAACAUUGAAAUACAACUAAUAGGAGCAGAAUGGGGGUACUAGUACGCGAUUCAACUAUUUCCAAGUAACUAUCUAGAAAUUGACUAACUAAUGUGCGGGACACCUAAUGGUCAGAAAAUGACCAGUUCGCAUAAUGCAGGGCAGAUACUUCCAAUUGUGUCCACCCUUAAUAAAUACUUGCAAUUCUUCUAGUCGGAAGUAAUACCAUUAAAAGAAAAUAAAUAAAUACAUACACACUUAUAUACAAAAUACACCCCCGCCCCCCACUGCCGUACUUGAUGCAUAAUUGCGUAUCCUAAAAUGUACAUAAAUACAUAUACACGUAUAUACCAUAAAAUAAAUACAUACACACUUAUAUACAUACAUGAUACAACUCUCUGUCUCUAUCAAUAUCGUCUCGAAAUCCCAAAAUUAUGUGCUAAGGCUCUAGAUUCUAGAGAGGAUUGGCUUUGGCUAUGGGAUGGGGGUUAUGGGGAAAGAAUUUGAAGUGCUUUAUAUUGAUUAAAAUAAUACUCUGCUUACAAGGAUAGAGGGAAGAAGGGUAUGUAAGAGGGAUUGUACUGUAGUGAUGGAGACAUGUCAAGAGUGGGUGGUGUGGUGGUAUUUGUUGCCACGUGUGGCCCAUCUCGACAUGGUCCCUAAAGACACGAAAGAGAGAGAGUCUCCGCUAAACGACAUUUUGGUAUUUAUAUUUAGUUCUCACGCACAACACACACCCCAAUUGGCUUUGGCUGGUCCUUCACUCUUCUUCCCUCCAUAGCAAAAUUUUCACACGAUAUGAUUUUUUUUUUUUUUUUUGUUAAAGAGGAUCAACGGUAAUUUCUUAUUUAUCUUCGUGAUGACUCAAAUUUAUGAUCUUUUUAAUUGUAGAUAAAGCAUUUUAUCAAUUAGAUAAUGCUUCAUUAUCGAGCGCUUCACAUGAUAUGAUGCUUCUACCAUACGAGAUUGAUGAAGGAGGUGGGAAAAAAGAGGUGUCAGUGCAGAAUUAACUCUAAUAUAAAUAAUUUAAUAAAAAAUUGAUACUUUUUUAUUAAUUCCUAAUCACCUUUGUGACAACAAUUUUCAAGGACUCUGUGUAUAUUAUAUUGCAAAAUAGAUGUUCAGUGAAUUGUAAUAAAAUUUUAUUUAAUCUUCAUUUUGGGAUAUAAAUAAUUUAUUUUUGGACACAGGAGAGGAGUUUGAAAUUUUUCUUAAAAUAGCAUUAUAGUAUCUUUUGUGAUGUAAUUUAUACGUUAUUUAAAAAAUGAUUGAAUUGUUUGCAAAAAAUUAUUUGAUCAUAUUAUCAACACAUUUUCAAUCAUAUUUUUAUCUUGUAUAUAUCACAUUAAAAAAGUGCUACAAUAGAUUUUUUUUUCAAAAAAUUAUCGCAAAUGAUCUGCUUUCCAAACACACACUCACAUGUGUUUACAAUACAAGUAAAAUAAAUAUUUGUAACAAAGUAAAUAUAAAGAGGAUGAAAAUGUCAUCACGCACUCAUUGUGUUAAAAUUUAACAUUCAUACGAUGACAAUGUACUGCCUAGUAUUUGUUUGCACAACCUACUUAAAAGUUGUAGGCUCAGAAGCAUACAUUUAGAUCUAUGGACAAUAACGAUCAUCAAAUGUUUUUCCAGUAUCGGAAAAUUUCCACCCUUGCAAGCAUUGAGGAAUUUCUUCAUUGUACAAGUACUAAUACAUACCAUAACUAUAUGUCCACCUAAUUAAAUUUCCAUGACUUUUGAAGACACUGUAUAAAUUAUAGCAAUGUCUCUAGAUCUCAAACAUGAAGCAUUUGCGAGUUGCAGGUUUGAAUUGAGAGACAAUCAAAGGAGGGGUUCGCUUCCUCUCGGCCGACAGGGCUGCUAUGGGACCCGUCCAAACUUUUGGCUGAGCUUUGCCCUCUUCCAACGCCUUCUUCUGUGAAUUUGUACCACCAUUUCUUUGAAGUCCCCACCACAAAGACCCAUCCCAUUAUGAUAUUUUCCGGUCGAUUUUGGGUCUUGUUGUACGUCUUGUUUGGCUUUGAAUUUGCGUGCUAUGCCCUCCAAAUUACAAAAUAAGUCAUUAUUGGCAUCAUCUUCUUUUUAAUCAACCAGAAAAUUGGCUAGAAGCUAUAGAGGAUAGGACUAACAUGUUUUUUCACGGCCAAGGGACUAAAAAUCCAGAUAUUGACAAGACCGUAGGGUGGUCUGGUAGGCUUGUAUAAGGGUGUAGAUGAGUCCAUUCGAAUUUAAGUAGUGCACUAUGUGAGGUUGACAUAACUCAAACUUGUUGAACUCGUAACAGUUAAGGCCUUGUUUGGAAAGAAAUUUUUUAUCAAAAAAUCUCGACAUUUUUCAUGAACACAUUUUUUAAUUAUUUUUUUAUUUCAUAUGUAUCAAAUCGCUAUAAUAUAUUUUUUUAUAAAAACUUCAGAAAAUUGCAAGCCAAACACAACCUAAGCUUUAAUUUUCUCGAAUUCGAUCAGAUCUAACUCAAAUGGGUUAGGUGAUGUAAAAUUAAAAUUUUACGCAGUUUCAAACAACGAAUAUGAUAUUCAUUUCACUUUAAUAAAUAUGAAAAAUUAAAAAAUGUAUGUAUAUUUGAAAUUUAAUUAAGUUCAACGAACUUUUUAGUGCUACAUAUUAACGUUGAGUUCAAACUUGCCAAACUAUUCUCACUUCCGCAAGUUCGUUUAUAUGUUUCUCUUUGUUUAUUUAAUGGGAGUAGUUUCGGAAUUUUUAUAAACAAGUUUACUUUAUGCAAAUUUAGAAGGGUAAUAAUAUCAGGCUUCACAACGACUUUUAUAAAAUUUAAUUCCAAGAUUUCCUACAAAAAUAGGACAAUAAAUAGAAAGAAUAGAAUCAAAGGUUAAAAGAGAUUAGAAACUACUCAGUGGUUGGUUAAUUUGGAGAACAUGGACGGAUCCGAUAUGCUAUGUACGUAAGCGUGGUUGAAUCAUCUCUAGAUCUAAUCCAGACUCAAAUUCAAAGUACUCAGGGUAGGAUUUGAGUUUAAUUUUUCAAAUUCAAAUCCUAUCUAAACUCAAACCUGUAAAAAAAGUUAUGAAUUUAGAUAGGAUUCGAUUUUCUAUAAUCCAUACUCAAAUUUAUAUCCAAAUCAUACCCUACCCAAACAUAUAUGUGUAUGAUGCGUGUGUCUAUACAUACAUAUAUAUAUAUAUAUAUAUAUAUACACACACAUAUAAAGUAAAAAUUAGUAAAUGAAAUAUUGGAUGUGAAUACAAAUAAAACUUUGAAAAUAAACAAAAAUAGUUGAUAAUAGUUCCUUCUUUGAUUUCAUAAUAUUGCAUUCAAUUUCUUGAAUGUUAAUUUUAUUAUAUAAAGACAGAAACUCGAUGGUAUUUAUGUUAUUUUUGCAUUCUAUGUAUUUUUAAAAUAUUUUUACUUUAGUUAUUUGCUAUAUACGUACAGAUAUCCAUUAGAUACCCAAAUUCGUAAGAAUUAAGUGUCUGAGUUUGGAUAUGUGUCUAACUAUAUUUAAUAGAUUUGAAUUUGGGUCAAAAGGAUCCAGAUUAGCGCAACGGAUAUUUUGUCACACUUUUUAUGAUAUUAUUGUUAUUUAUCUUUCAUAAACAUCAUAUUUUAGUUUUUUUUAUUUUUUUAAGAUUCAAUAACUAUUAUUUGAGCAAAAAAUAAAUACACCAGUCUUAAAAAAGUAAUAUAUAAUAAAAAAUUAAAAAAUACAACAGAAAAUAAAUAAAAAAUCUCAUUUUUUAUGCAUUUUGAUUUUUUGACUUUGUUAAAUUUUGUGUAUUACUCAAUUAAUAAUUAUUGGAUUUUGAGAAAAUAAAAAAGAAUUAAAAUAUAAUGUUUAUGAAAAAAAUAAAAAUAUAAUAAAAAGUGGGAUAAAAACCGAUAUAGGGAGUGAUACAAAAAAUCACUUGAGUUGAACUAGAUUCUACUCGUUGACAUGCUACAUGUAUAGACAUGCACGGCAGGUUGCUGGCGCCUGGCACUGCUCCUAUUUCACAACGCAUUUAUUUACUCUUUUUUAGUUAGAUAAAUUUUUUUAGUGUCCUUCGUUUUUUCCUGUUCAUUUCGUCGCAUGCAGCAGCAAACCGGAUAUAAUGAAUGAGAAUUUAGUUAAAACACUAUUCUCCAACAAUGUCAUUUAUUUUAAAGUACGAUGCUAACAAGAAUAAGUUCUCGAUAAUGUUUAGUAGCAGCAGUUUGUAUAUCCUAAAAUCGCAUUGGAAUUUGAAAAGCUUAUAGAUUGCAAUAACAGGUAGUGUGUUUGGAUUGUAAGUUACUCCCUCCGUCCCACUUUGAUAAUCCUGUUUCUUUUUUCACACAGUUUAAGAAAAAGUAGUUAACUUUAUUGGAAAAAUAAAUUUAGAUUGCUAUUUUUCUAAAAUAUCCUUACAUUAACUAUGGUACAACUUUAUGGGAACUUGAAUUGAUGGUAAAAAAAGAAUCAACUCUCAUUAAAUGGGGUAGGUUUAUAGUAACAACUACUUACAUUGAAUAAGGGUAUCUUAGGAAAAUUAAAAUACAAUUACAUUCUUCAAUUGGAAAGUGGACUACAAUUUGGGACAGAUAAAAAAGGAAUACAAGACUAUCAAGGUGGGACAGAGGGAGUAUUUGAGAUAUUUUUACUGUAGCACUUUUUGUGAUGUGAUGUACGUAAGAUAAAAAGGUAAUUAGGAAGAUAAAAAGGUGUAUUGAAAAUUGUAAUGGUGAUGUAAGCAAAUAUAUUUGGGCAAAAAACUUACAAUCCAAACACACUACCGGGUUAGGUGAACAUAUGAAUAGAACACUUCUCCAACACAAUAAUAAAAUCGCACCAAACAGGUUUUACGUUCUGAAGGCAGAAUACAUGUUUAACUACUACAUUUGGAUGUCACAAUCGAUCGAGGAAACUGGUAAUGUUUUGUCCUCUCUUUCUCUUUUCUUUUGUGGUUGAGCAUCACGUCAAGACACCUGCUCCAAAAGUUAAAAUUCCAAUCCAAAUUCCAGCUAAGGUAGUGCUAGCACAAGCAAACAUCACUUUAGAGGGGGGAAAAAAAAAGAAAAAGAAGAAGAAUUUAUCGUACGAAGUACUAUGGCCCGAUGGAUCCAAAGGAUGAUUUCAUUUGGUGAUGCUUCACUGGGGGGAAGCACAUGAAUUUUAGAAACAAAGGUAGCCAUACGUGGGUGGAACUUGGAUGCAAGGUGCAAAUCUCUCUUUGACACGAAGCAAGUUGAUAGCAUGUUAAAAAAAGGAAGCAAGUUGGGUGUUGGGACCAAAACUUUCCAUAGAAAUCCAGGCUCCAGCGGAACUGUACUGAGAUUAUGGGCGUCAAUCGACCAUCAUCUGGCGUACAUCUUCCAACCGACAUAAUUAAGUAGCGAGAUGCAUGUAGACACCCAUUUCUUGGUUAAUUGCCAAUUCAUUCCUACGACUAAACAACUUGCCUUGUCAAUUCCAUUUACAAUUGCUGUCGUACUUCUAAUGGUUAGGUUGACAAAAAUACCAGUUAAAAGAGAUGAAAUCUGUAUAAAAAAAAAAAAAAGAGAUGAAAUCUGUAUAAUAAUAAUAAUAAUUUUGAAUGAAAAGGCCGAAUAAUUUACUAACAAAAAAGACGGUUGAAUUGAGUGAUCAUGCAAGAGAACUGUAAGCAAGCGAUCCUGAAUAUACCUUUUACUUAGGAAAAAAAAAAGAAUGAAGUAUUAGUAAAAUAUUCACAGAAAGGCAGAAACAUCACUGUGGUAGGUACGUAGGUGUUAGUAAUUCUUGAAUUCUUAAAGGCAAAAUGUACGCAAUAAAGUGGGAAAUAAUAGGAGCACUGGUUAUUUUGAGACGGGGUGAGAUGAAAUCUGGAGUUUUGAUCGGAGAACAGAUGAAUUUUAUAAGAGCAAUAAGUGCACAUUUUCGUCGUACUUAGCAUUGUCCCAAGAACAAGCAAAAGGAUGCAACAAGGGCAACGAAAUUGCAUGAUGGUCCGAAUUUCAUCAGACUCCUCCAAUUCUCGUGGACACAGAGAGACAGAUGAGAUGCUCCAGUUAAAGCGUUUUUGUGGCAUAGUAUAAAGUUGGGUGGUGGAAAGUUAAUGCGAUAAGCAUCUUUUUGUUUUUUGGUUUUGGAACAAUGUGCCUUGUUGAGCUAGAGAAGCAAAUGCAUGCAGUCAAUGAUCACUUAAUAAUCUCUUUAUCGGGAAUGGUUGUUUUCUAUCGCCAAUUUUUCUGAUUGGUGACGAUUGAUCAGUCACCAACGCUAUGAAUUCAUCCACAAGACGCGUGCAAUCUGCAAAGCGUCAUUGCUGCAUUUGGUGGAAUUUCUUUCAAGCCACCCUAAUCUUCAUAGCCCCCGUCCUUUCAACAAUACCCUACUUUCUUGGUGCUCUGAUGCAUAUUUUGACUCGAUCCAGUAGCUAGGAGAGGAUGUCCAGCGUGCUGGCAAAAUAAUGGAGACUAGUAUUGUACACUACAAUCACAUCCCCAGUUGAUUUGGUAGGAAUUGAGCUGAGCUGAUGGUAAGUACUUUCACUUUGGCCAACAAAGCCAAGCACAAGACAAAAUACAUAAAUUAUUGUCUAUUUUAUUGCUAAACAUGUUUCUUGCAAUAUAGACAACACUUCAAAGUAUUAGCUCAAAAAAAAAUAUAUAUAUAUAUAAACUUAUUUUUGUAAAAUGGAAAGGGAGAGAAGAGGAAAGAGCAAACCAAUCUAUCUAUCUAAUAGAAUAAAAUCGCGAGUUGACAAUCCUCAGAUGUUAGCCAGGGUUUUAUUUUAUUUUACUCGUCUUCCAGUUCAGUUGUUAUUGCUGACUUUUGGGAAGAGGGGAUGGUCCCAUUGCAGCUUGCAGCAGCUAGAAAAGUCUUGUUUGGAGGAGGACAUCAUUGCUUGCACCAUUUCAUUUCCUUCUUACUAUCCCUAUGGCUCUGAGAGUCCGAGAAAGAAAUUUAUAAUUCCUCGAGUUUCCAAGACUUGGAAGGAAUACAAUAAUGCAUUGGGAAUUACAUGCCCCGUUUAUUUUAAUGAUGUCUGGAACUAAAAAAAACAAUCAAUACUUCGUUACAGCUUUCUAUCCAAGUUUAGUGGGUCACAAUCACAUAUAUGUCGUCUUUGCCAAUGCCUAGGCAUAUACUCCUCCCUUUUUUUUAUAACUGACGUUUAAGGUUUUGCACAUCAAUUAAGAAAAAUUUUUCAUUGCUUAAAUCUAUACAUUAUUUUCUUUUUGUACCCUCAUUAAUUAUCUAAUUCACCCAUAUUUUCUCUUACUAGAGUACUAAAUGGUGCUAUUUUACUAGGCCAAAAGCAAUGCAAUAAUUACUAGGAGUAGUAAUUAAGAACCCUAUAUUGGAAAAGAGAGAUAAAAGGGUAAAAUUAUGAAAAAAUAAUUAAUACUGUAUAGGGAUAAUAAAACGACAGAUAAAAGUACAUUAGAGCAAAUUUCUUAAACGUCAAUUAUAAAAAAAGGGAGGGAGUAUAUAGGUUUCAUCGGGCUGCAAACAAAGUUGUUAUUACAACCACAAUUGUUUAACGAUUACUUGCAAACCAAAAGAAAAAAAGAACAAUAAAAGCCUACGGUUACCGAUGCUUAGAGCAUAAAGAACCAAGACCCUAUUUUUUCCUAGGGCUUGUAAAGUUCCCAAAAGAAAAGAAAAGAGUGUGCAAUCCCAGAAGGCAUGUCUUAUCACCUUUUGUUCUUGGUCAAAAUAAAGAAGAAUAAAAAUCUUUAUGGAGCCACCAUGCCUGUCCUUCCUUUGUCCUUGCUGGUCUUUUGGUGCAUCAAGUUUGGUGUCUCCUUGCUAGAGCCUAAGUCCAAAGGCUUUCUAGGGGUUCUGGCUGUCUUUCAUAAUUUCUAGGUUGCCCCCAAUCACAUUGGUAUUUGCUGCUACUCCUCUCUUGUCUCCGUUGGAAUGAGUUCUCCUGUUUGUCCUAGCUUGCAUGCUAAACAAACCGAUCAAUCAACUCCUCCCACAAAUACCGCACCAAUGAACCACCGGUUUUGGUCCAGCGAUCACCAAAAGGGGAUUAAGCCUCUUUUUGAGUUGUAGACAGAAAAUUCGAACCUUAUUUACAGUGAAAAAAUUUUAGAGAAGAUAUUGGAGCGCCAUUUUAAUCUGGCCGAGUCUCUAUGUCUGCUAAUCCCAUCUUUAGACUCCUUUUCAUGCAGAAUAGGAUACAUUAGUUUUUACGAAUGUUACCGUUGCGAAGAAACAAAAAAAAAAUCAGAAAAGAACAAUAAUAUCAUCAUUACUUGAUUUGAAAUGUAUUCUUUUUCCAGAAAUUUCAAUAAUGUUUAAUAAAGUUCAAAUUAUCAGCUGAAAUCCUAAUAAUUUUUAAAAUCCAAUCUUUUUGCUUAAUAAUUUCAAAAGCUGUUUGAUUUUAUAGAGCAUCAAAGCAAGCUACGCUCCCAUUGGAAAAGGUUAUUAAAUCACUCACAUCUAUAGGUAUUACGAAUAACAACAUGCAUCAUACCUUCAUUUUUCCAAAACAAAUUGUCAUGAUAUAUAUAUAUAUACAUUGGAGACAAAAUAAGAAGGGUGUCGGGGAUUAAGCCACACUUCUCUUGGUGAUUAGCAGCCGUAUUAUAAGUGUUUUGCAUAUGAUCAACAUUUUAAUUUUUGUUCUCUCCAUUUUGUGGGAGUCAAACGAACACAAGCGUACAUGAUCUCUUUCCAGAUUUCAGGUGUUAAUCAAAGCAUCAUUAGUUAGUGGUUUGCCAUGAAAAAUCCUGAUGUGGCAAGCCACAUGGCACGUGAGUGACACGUGACCGGUGGUACUUUUCAAGACUUAACCUGGAUUAAAUCAAGCCCGGACGAAUGAGUUCUGACCUCUGAUCAAGUUCCAAAGCCUUGAGCUCCUGAUGCCAGAGUUAGUUAUGCAUUAAUUAAUUGGAAUUUUCAACUUCACCCAUGAACUAAUCAACUAUAUAUAUACAUGUUCUACUUACAAGCUGCAAAUCCUUUGCAUUUUGCGGCCCGGAAAGCGAGAAUCAAAUACUAUAAAAUUUGGAUGUUGGAGUUGGACAACGAUUAAGAGCAAUAAACAAACAUUGAUAAGAUUGGAAGAAGUCAUGAUCUUUAGCGUGAAAGACACCUUUGGGGGUACUCUCCAUAUGAAAGUUUGGCAACCUAAAGAUGACAAAAGUUUGCUCAUGCAAAGCUAAAGAUUUGAGAAACCCCAUAAGGGUUAGCAAGACUAAGUAGUCUCCUUGAGAUGCUUCUCACAUCCUCCCUAUAUAUAUAUGUAUCAUAAGGCCUUCGAGGGUACUAUUUCUUUAUAUACACUUUUGUCUUUUAUAAUGUGGGGAGUUUAGCAUGUUAGAAACCGAAUUUGACCAUGCAUUAGUUGGAGGAUUAAGGCAUUUAAUUAGGGGUUAGCAAUGUCAUCCCAAGCAUGGCUUGCUGAUGCAGUCAAAGAGGGUGCCCAAGAACUUCCCAGUAGGUAGGAUUUCAGCGGAAAUAUUUAAUGCAGCAAACUUUUAUAGGGAAUUGAGCACCCCCCCUUUUUUCCUUCUUAAUCGUUUGGUCCAACAUGCAUGAGUUAUUCAAAGCUACUGUCACAUGCAACGAGAUUAAAAAAAAAAAAAAAAAAAAAAACCCCAAAAGGGAUUUGAUUAGUUAAAUGAUUAAUGAUGUUUGAAAUCUACCAAAUAAUUAUCGAAUAUUCGCACGCUUUAGACCAGUGGGAUUAUACUAAAUGGGAAUCCUUCUUUGCAUAGUCGACCCUGUCAUGUGAGAGGAUCUCGGGAUUGAGUCUCUCUGCACGAGCCCUGCGACAGGUUUUCCCUUCUUGCAUGAAAUAUGAUCCAAUCUCAACUCUCAAUUCUCAAUUCUCAGCCACCAGAAAUGUGAAAAGCAUAUUGUCUCGAGGCAUUACAUAUUAGCAUCCUCAUCAUCAUGUUCAGAUGAAAUGGUCCAAGAAACAACUUGAUUCAUUACCUAAGUCAUGACUUCAUCCAUCCGUACUUUUUUUUUUUUUUAUCUGUUAUGCAACUGAAGGUUUAUAAUUUUAGUAAGUAUUAUCUCGUCCAGGAGCCAAAAAUGAUAUACAUGCAAAGCAUUUGGAAAUUUUUUGUCGCUUGCAUUUUGGGAGAAAAUUGUCAAUGAGAUUUUCAUCACUGAAGCAAACGAACGGAUGCAUGUAAGUCCACAAUACUAUGAAUAUCAUCAUGCUCUUACAAAGGGAAUUAGUUAAAAAAAGAAUUUUACAAAAAGACAAAAAAAAGAAAGAAAAUUCCUCCACACUAAAUAAGUUGAAUUAUUUCUUUUUAGUAUUAUUUUUGUGAUAUAUUGGCGAACCAGAUUAAGCACCUAAAGAUUAAGGAUUUUGCUAGUUUUUAUUUUGCCGAAGAUAUGGAUUUGAGAGCUUAGAGCAGCUUCUACCGGCCCAUUUACUCAUCCCAACAUUGGCGUCCAUGUUGACCGAUUUGUAAUCCAUGGAUAAGUUUUCUUGCUGGAUCUUACCUGAUUCAUUGAUUUAUAUGGAAGCAAUCCAUCACAGGACUUGAUGUGACAAAAUUCAGCUUUAGCCAUCCGGAAAUCCAACACAGAAAUGUUAAUUGGGCUUUAGCCAUCCGAAAACCCAAAAGCAAAAAUGUCAAUUGGGAUUCAUCCAUCAAAAGCCCAAACACAUGUCAAAGUUGGAAUAACUGUAAACGGAAACAAGUUUCCAAGACCGGCCUUAGCUAGUAAAAACAUUAUAUUUUUCUUUGUAAAAUUUAGAGCCUCUCAUUAAACCGAAGAAAAAUUUUAAAAAAAAUUGAAACAAUAAGCACUCCAAUAAACAAUACUAAUAAUAAGAAAAGAAAUGCUUAAUAGUUUGAUAGACAAUAUACAAUAGGUAGAUGUUAACAUAGAUAAUUGGGGAUGUUUUAUCAUUUUUAGCUAAGAACUUAAUUGCUUUAUAGUUCCUAAAAAAUUAGUAGAAUUUGAUUUUAUGAAUAGAAUUUACUCAAAUGUUAUUGACCAUACAUGAAUAGAAAAAAGAACAUAAUCGAAACAAAAGUUUCAUUUUGAAGGGCUUAAUUAUGUUUCAUUCACUAUUAGGGGCUAAAUUGACACAUUUGUCUACUUUGCGGGUCCAAAUUAAAAUUCUAUAGCAUUAUUUUUAUCAUGUGCUCGCUUUACAUAGGUUAAAGUGCCAAAAGAGAGGAACGAGGACCAUAAAGAGUUUGUUCAAAACUUUCUUGUGAAAUUUAUUAGCGCGGAGAGGAUAAUUUGGGCAGCUCAUGAAACUAUAUGUAUGUUACACAAAACAAAUAUAGUCCAAGGAAGAGGCCUUUUCGAGGGAGUCCAUUAGAAUUAAUCCUAGCCCAUUUGUUUAUUAAUAAACGAUGGGGAUAUUGUCACUGAAAAAAAUUUUAAUUUAUUUGAAUUGCUAUUUUUUGAAGUUUUUGAUAAAAAAAAUAUAUAAUAAUUUGAUAUAUAUGAGAUAAAGAGACAAUUAAAAAGUGUGUUUGUGAAAAAUAUAGAAAUUGUGAUACGAAGUGCGGACGGAAAAUUUGAGUGCGGAGAGAGAUAGGUAUUAGAGAUUCUUAUUCGUAUUUAGUUAUGGGUAAUAUGCCACCAUGAUUCUUAUUUGGAUCACCAUUGGAUGCUUUUACAAGACUCACCUUAUCCAUCCAUAUUUGUUUGGAAAGUUUACAAAAAGAGUAAAAAAGCGCAACGGAUCUUCUGUCACACAUCCUGUGUCACUCUCUGUGCCACUUUUUACUAUUUUGCUAUUUCUCCUUUAUAUAUAUCAUGUUUUAGUUCUUUUUUGUUUCCUUAAGAUUCAAUAACUAUUAAUUCAGUAAAAAAUAAAUACAACAGUUUCCAAAAAGUAAUAUAUAAUGGAAAAUUAAAAAAUACAGCAGAAAAUUCAGAAAAAAUCUCAUUUUUUAUGCAUUUUGAUUUUUUGAGUUUGUUAAAUUUUGUAUAUUACUGAAUUAAUAGUUAUUGGAUCUUAAGGAAACAAAAAGAACUAAAAUAUGAUAUUUAUGAAGGAGAAAUAACAAUAUAAUAAAAAGUGGGGCAGAGAGUGGCACAGGGUGUGGGACAGAAAAUCCGUUGCGGUAAAAAAACACAACUGUUCCACUUUCUGUGACAUUUACUGUCACACUUUUUGUUAUAUUGUUAUUUUUUUCUUCAUAAACAUCAUAUUUUAAUUUUUUUUUAUUUUUUUUAAAUCCAAUAACUAUUAAUUAAAUAAUACACAAAAUUUAAAAAAUCAAAACACAAAAAAUGACAUUUUUAUGAAUUUUCUGCUCUCUUUUUAAUUUUUUAUUAUAUAUUACUUUUUAAAAUUAUUUAUUUGUUUUUUUACUCAGUUAAUAAUUAUUGAGUCUUAAUGAAACAAAAAAAACUAAAAUAUGAUAUCUCUGAAGAAGAAAUUGUAAUGUAAUAAAAAAUGGAACAUAAAGUAUUACAGGGAAUGAAACCGAUAAAAAUGUGCACUUCACCCUUACUUUCAAUUUAAAUAUUUCAAAAAGGAGAAACAAUCAUCAGGUAGGCAUAGAUAGAAUAGAACUAGUAGUCUUUUACAUGACGCAUCGCGUUUGGCGGUCCACCUGUCAUGUUCCGGAAUCUAAGAUGGAUAUGUGUCACUAUUCAAGUUCACUUCAAAGAAUUUUACUCUUUUUUUUUUUGGUCCCUUGAGAUUAUUCCUCGUUAAAAUAAAUAAAAAAAGAAAAGAAAGAUUAAGGGACGAAAACUGGCCAGUAGCAUAACGGACUUCAAAUCAGAAAAAAAUGAACAUAAACACGAACAAUUAAUUUUCAUUUAUAGUUCCUUAAUAAAUGCAAUCACUUUUAUUUAUCCAAUUUUUAUGAAGCCUUAUCAUCCCCUCUCCAAAAUUAGAGUUUGACCUCAACCGUAUAAGCCAGUAGAAGUAUAUUUUCCCUCAAAUUCUGACUUAGAAUCCCUUAGAAAUACCACUAACUACUGUUUUGCAUCUUGCAGCAGCAGGAGCAGGAGCAGGAGCACCAUUUCUUAGCCCAGACAGAAAAAUAAAUUAAUGAUUUCACCAUUGCUCUGAAAAACCCUCUAGAAAAAUAAGCUACGACUUCUUCCUUUUUCUUGUUUUGCUUUAAUUUCCUCAUAGAGAGAGUUCUGAUUUGUUUGCUUUUUGUUGUGUAAUUAGCUUUUGUUUUUUGGGUCCUUUUUGGACGGAUUGGUAUUUUUUGUUGUUGUUCUGAUGGAGGAUUCCUCGGACCAGUGCAAGCUGUUUGUGGGAGGGGUUUCAUGGGAGGCGACGGAGGAUGUCCUGAGAGAACACUUUGCCAAAUACGGCACCGUUUUGAGUUCGGUGAUAGCCAAGGAUAGGCUAACCGGUACCUCCAGAGGAUUCGCUUUUGUUUCGUUUUCUGACGCUGCUGCCGUUGAUUUAGCCCUUCAGGACUCCCAUGAGAUUCGCGGAAGAACGGUUCGUCCUUUCCAAAUUACUGUCUAUUUUUUCGGUUUUUUUUCCAUGUUAUGUUCCUUUUUUCCCCCCCUAGACUGUUUCCAUUUAGUAUUUUUGUUCCAAUUUUAUUAUGUGGGCCUUCAGCUUUUAUCUUCUGCCUGUGCCGCUUGGGAAAUCCGGAUUUUGUAAUUUAAUACGUUUUGUCUGGCUCAUAAGGAUUUUACAAUUUGUGACGGACUUUGAUAUGUGUAAUUUAUUUAUUUGGGGCUGAUUUUUAAUGUCACAGCAGAGUGAUUAUUUUAGUAAUUUUGGUUACUUGUAUUGCGUCAAUGCUUUACUAGAUUUUUGGUUCACAUUUUUGUGAAAUUAGCAACAUUGUUUAAAUCCUGCUAGCAAAUUUGGAUUAUUUGUAUAUUUUUUGAAAAAUUUGCAUUCUUAAAGCAAUGCCCUCUAUGGGAGGAAAAACCUUAUUCGUCAUGCUUUUUUGUGUUGUUUUUUCAAGGAUAGGACUUUACUCCAUUAACAUUUCAUAUGAUUGUUGCAAUGUACUAUGUCCUUUUUUUUUUGGUGUAUUCUAUUCAUUAGAGUUUUAUUGUAUUUGUAGGUAGAAGUGAAGAAAGCAAUACCCAGGGGUGAGCAACACCAAAGCAAACAGCCACAGAGUAGGGGUUUGGGUAGGAACAAUAGAACUGAUGGUAGUAGGAGUGACAAUCAGUUUAGGACUAAGAAGAUUUUUGUAGGGGGUUUGUCCGCUAAUUUAACUGAAGAAGAAUUCAAGAGUUAUUUUGAGAAGUUUGGUAGGAUUACUGAUGUUGUUGUGAUGCAUGACAAUGUGACUCAUAGGCCCAGGGGCUUUGGCUUCAUUACGUUUGCAUCGGAGGAUGCAGUUGAGGAAGUGGUGCAGAAUAAUUUUCAUCACUUGAAUGAUAAACUAGUAGAGGUGAAGAGGGCUAUACCUAAAGAGGGCAAUAACAAUGUUAAUGGGCAUAGCGGAAGGGCAGAUAAUGGUAGAGGGUCUAACUACAAUCUUUAUCCUCAAGGGACUUAUCCCCUCUAUAAUCCUAGGUUUGGGAUGUUUCCUAGUUACAGUUCAGUUCCGGGAUAUGGAGGUCUUUUAGGUUACCCUUAUGGGCCGACUAUUUAUGGUGGCAAUUAUCCUUUCGGAACGUAUAUGGGAGUUGGUUACGGAGUUGUUCCACUGCCUGGUUCAUGGGUUGGUGGUGCUACGGCAGACAAUGCAGGAGGCUCUGACUAUAGCACAAUCUAUCCUUAGUUGUGGAUAUGGUGGAAAACCGGGUUGACCGCUAUUAUUGAUGUGUAAAGAACAACUGAUUCAGCAUACUUAGGUUGACCAUUAUUUGCAGGUGACCUCUGCAUGUGCAUAAUGGUUUUGACAUACAAGGAUUGAAGCACUGAUGUUUAUAUCGUUUCUUGCUGUUUAUAUUGUUCUUGUUAUUGAAUCUUCUGUUCGGUAAAAUUUUCUGUUUGAAUUCAUGGGACAAUGUUUAACUCAUUUGUAAUAUAAUGAUUUCUUGAUAGACUCCAUUUGCAUGAUGUAUUCUCAUCUUAUUUUGGUGUAUCAAAUGUUCCAUUAGUUUGGUGGUUUCUAUUACUCAUGGGGAAGUAGAAAUAGAAAGUUUUGCUUUCUUUCUUAAGUUUGAACUUUUGCGUUAGCUGUUUGCAUUGCUCAACUCAUUUGGGACCUAAAAAUGGGUGGUUUUCUUAUUUCUUUUUUCCAUUGUUUCUAAUUUAGUGUUAGCUGGCUUGGCAACUAAGGUAAAUAUUGUACGAGUCUGUUGUUGUAUACUGUCUGUAUCUAUUUCAGUGCUUAUUUUGUACUUUGCGAUUUUUAACACAUUUGGGACUUAAAUGGGUGGUUUUCUUAUUUCUUUUUUCCAUUGUUUCUAAUUUAGUUAAUUUAGUGUUAGCUGGCUUGGCAACUAAGGUAAAUAUUCUACAAGUCUGUUGUGGUAUACUGUUUGUAUCCAUUACGGUGCUUACUUUGUAGCGAUUUUUAAGCACUAGCGAUACAUAAAGGGGCGAGGCAAGGCGAGGCGAGCCUUUCAAAAGUUUUAUACAUUAUGUGUUUUUAGGGUUAAUUACAAGGGUACACCCCAUUUCUCAUUUUACUUCUUAAUCUUUAAUUUUUAGUUUUUAUCCCCUAACUUCCUAUAAGACAAAAUUACCCUUUCAUUAUUUUGACUUUUCAUUUAUCUAUUUUUCCUUUCCCCCUCUUUAUUUCUUUUUCUCUUUCAUGUUUUUUCUCUCUUCUAUCCUUCCCAACAACAGAAAACUUGUCUUAAAGGAAAAUUUUAUCUUGAGUUUGUAAUUGCAUUUUUGGGGUGAGCUUUAAAAGGUAUUAAAAACUAAUUUUGAUCUUUUGUACGAUGCAUGUGUCACAAAUUGUGACUAAAUGAUUAUUAAUUAGGCUACAAAUUCAUCUUGUGAUAUUUAUUUGAGAAUAAAAUGAGAAACUAGAAUGGAAAGGGAGAAAAGCAAAAGAAUUGAAAUGUUAAAAAAUUGUAUUUUGGAGAAGUGGUUUGAAUAAUUUGUAAUUGUUUCAUGAGAAGGUAGAUUUUUACAAUUCUUUUUUUUUUUUUUUUUUGCUUUCAUCACUAAGAUGAAAUUUUUUGUGGAAAAGAAGAAGAAUUAAAUAAAGAAGAAUGAUACAAAGAAAAUAGGGGGGGGGGGGGAAUAGAAGAGACAAAAAAAAAGAGAUUAGAGUAAUAGAGGGGUAAUUUUGCUCAAUAGGAGAUAAGAUGAGACACAAAAAAAUUUAAAGAGCAAAGUAAAAAAUGGGCAAUACUUAAAGGGAUUAAUUGUGAUUGACCCUUGUGUUUUUUUUUUUUUUUACUUCAAGAACUUUAUUAAUUAAAGAUUUCGCCCCCUCAAACUAGGAACUGGAUGAGUUCUAUGUUUUGCUUAUUUUUCUUAGGCAUUUAUUUAUAUACGUAAAGGCCGUGUCCACGCCUGGGCAACUUAAGCUGUGUCAACAUAUUCGCUUACUUGGACAGACAGAAAUAAUUUAUAAUGUUUUAAGUCAUUGUUAAUCUUGGGAGAAAUUUGUGCAAUACGCAUGAAUUUAAAAAUGUCAAAAAAACAGAGUAGAUGACGGAUGCUAAUCAUAGAGAUGCUCCACUACUAUAAUUAUAAAAACAAAAAUAUUAAGGCUAUAAAAAUAAAAUUGGAAGAGACAAAUUUAAACUUAAACCACAAAAAAAGGUGGCUUCUUAAUUUUUAUUAUUUAUUCAUCUUUUGGUCACUUGAAUAUUCAACAUUUUUGCAAUCAUUUCUUUGUUAAACAUUCAAACAACUAAGAAAGUUUUUCUUUUUUGUCCCCCUCUUAUUUAACCCUAAUUCUUUCCUCUUUUUCUUUGCUCUCGAAACUCCCAAACUAGGCCUAAAUCUUUAUUUAUUCAAUAAUGAACAUCACCUUAUUAGCACUAUUGUUUAAAGACUAGUACUACUUGCUAAAUACUACUAUUUUUGAAGGAUGAUAUUUGAACCUAAGUUUUAUAGGAUAUUAGUAGAAUAAAAUCAGAAACUUAUGAGCAUCAUUUACGUGUAUUAAGUAAAAAAAUUUAAAGUUAAUGGCUUUUCUUUUCUAACAUUAGUAACAAAAAGGUACUGACUUUGUUUACUAUUACUAUUCAAAUUAUCGUGGCAUUUUUUUGGUGCAGUUAUUUAGCUUUUACCGGACUAUCUUAGAUGGAGAAAAAAAAUUUCAUUGGCAUGGAAGAAAAAGAGUCAAAAAUAUUUUUGUUGGACUAUCUUAGAUAGAGAAAAAAAUUUCAUUGGCAUGAAAGAAAGCGAGUCAAAAAUAUUUUGUUUUGUUGCUUAUUAAACGAAGGUAUUUCAGAUUAAACCGAAAAAUAAGUAUAAUGGGUAAAAAGUGAUUUGUAAGCGGGUAAAUUUAAGGAAUCAAUAAGAAAUUAAACAAUAUGAUUGUAGUGUAAUUUACAAAAUCUGUCUAAAAAAUCACAUCCAGAGAAAAUGAUAUUUAAAUUUCAUAUCAAUAUGGUUACAUAAAGGUUAAUUACUAAUAUUAUGGUGAUGCAUGACAAUGACAAUGUGACUCAUAGGGCGAGGGACUUUGGUUUUGAUUACUAUCGCAUAAGAAAAAAAGUUGUGUAGAAUAAUUUUCAUCUAUUGAAUACGUUUCAUCUAAUGUAGUAGAGGAAUUGCGCAGAAUAAUUUCCAUUACUCUUGCAUUAUAUAAUGUAGUUGAGAAAGUUGUGCAGAAUAAUUUUCAUCCAUUGAAUAAUUUUGUAUUACUCUAGCAUCAAAGAAUGCAGUUGAGGAAGUUGUGCAAAGUAAUUUUCGUCUAAUUGUCUUAGUUCUCGUGUAGAAUCAGUUUUGUAUAGGAAAAGGAAAAAGGGUAUUGAAAGUGUCCACAUCUCCUCUUGUCGAAGUGGAGACAGUCUCGUCCUGAAUGGUAAACUAGUUGAGGUGCAAAGGGCAAUACCUAAGUGGGCAAUAACAAGGGUAAUAGACAUACCAAAAUUAUAGUUAGAUAAUAAUAAAGGUCCAAAUAUGGGAUUUUUACUAGUUAUAUGGAGAUGUUUUAGGAUUGCUUAUGGCGGACUCAGCUACAAUCUUUGUGAGCAAGGGACAUAACGGGAUUUUUACUAGUUAUACUUCAAUUUCAAGAUGUAAAGGUAUUUUAAGGUUUGCUUAUGGGGCAGACUAUUUGUGACGACAAUUAUCCUUCUAGAGAAUAUAUGUAAAUUGGUUAUGGUUCUUCUAUUGUCUAGUUCAUGAGCAGGUAGUGCUAGGAUAGACAAUCCAAAAGAGUAUAGUUUCAUUUUACCCUUAGUAUUGGAUAUGUUUAGAGUUGUGGAUAUAAUGGGAUGGAAGGGCAAGAAGAGGUGGGAAAAUUCAAUAGAGUUUAGUUCAAUUUUAUCCUUAGUAGUGGAUAUAGUGGUUUGGUAGGGUUUAGAGUGGUGAAUAUGGUAGGAUGGAAGGCAAGACGACGUGGGAAAUCAGGUUGACUAUCAAUAAAUGCGAUUAGUCAUACAUCAUUAUUUAUUUGCCAAUACCCUCUGCUGGCUUGUGGAUAACGGUUUUGACAUAUUGGUUUUGAAGCACCGAUAUUAUCUAUGUUUGUUGUUUCCUAUUAUUGAAUCUUUUGUUUAGUUGUUACAAAGAUAUUAAUUUUGUGUGGAAUUUUUUGUUUGAAUUCAUAGGGCAAUGUUUAAGAUCAUUUGAAUAAUGAUUUCUUUCACUCGAUUUGCAUCAAUUUCUUUAGGAUCAUUUUAGUUGUUAUUGAGGAAAUUGCAGAAAUUAGUGCAGCAAUUUACGGAAUGAUAUUUUGGGAUCUUUAGCUAAUAAAUUAGUGGAUGUAAUUUUGGUAAUUUACUAUUGUAUAGGAAAUCUUUAUUUGUACAGAUAUAUAAAUUAUAUAGGUAGGAUCCUUAUCUCUGUAUAUAAAUACACCUUUGAAGUCAAUGAGAAAAUCAUCUCUUUUGAUCCCAGUAUUUAUGUUUUCUUCAUGGUACCAGAGCAAUGCCUCCCAAAGACGAAGGAAAUUCUGGUUCAGAUAAGAAAACUUCCAAUCCUUACGUUCUAAGCCCCAACGACAAUCCAGGCAACAUAAUUACCCAGGUGCAGUUGAAGGGAGAAAAUUAUGAAGAGUGGGCACGGGCAGUGCGGACUGCAUUGAGGGCCAAAAAGAAGUAUGGUUUCAUUGAUGGAACUGUGGAACAACCGGCAGAUGAUUCACCGGAAAUUGAAGAUUGGUGGACAGUUAAUUCCAUGCUGGUUUCAUGGGUAUUUAAUACCAUUGAACCCUUUUUACGUUCAACUAUUUCUCUUGUGGACAAUAUUGGAGAUUUAUGGGAGGACAUAAGGCAGCGCUUCUCAAUUGGGAAUGGACCAAGAGUUCAGCAAUUAAGAUCGGACUUGACGAACUGCAAGCUGGAGGGACAAACCAUAGUCAAUUACUAUGGACAGCUUCAAACCAUAUAAGAUGAACUGAAUAAUUAUGACAAAUAACCAUUAUGCAGUUGUGGUGGAUGCAAGUGCAAUCUCACAACUGAACUGGAAAAGAAAAUGGAGAAAGAAAGAGUUUAUCAAUUUUUUAUGGGCUUGGAUGAAGAACGCUAUGGUACUGUGCGUGCUAAUAUUUUGAGCACAGAGCCAUUACCCAAUCUGAAUAAGGUAUAUGCAAUGGUCGUUCAGCAAGAACGAGUAAGGACAAUGUCACAAACAAGGGAAGAGAAAGGCAACCCCAUCAGCUUUGCAGUUCAGGUUGGUGGACUAAAUUCAGGGGAGGACAAAACUGCAGUAUGCUCACAUUGCAAUUGUGAGGGACACGAUUCAGGUACCUGUUUUCAGCUGAUAAGGUAUCCAGAUUGGUGGGGAAAUAGACCUCGCUCUAGUACACUAGGAUGAGGAAGUAGGCGUAAGCGCAAUAGUGGUGGAAGCCGUGAUAGGGGUGGUGUACCACGAGCAAAUGUCACUCAAACAUUUGCAACAGAAGAUGAUCACGGAGGAGUCACAGAAACUGACAGAAAGGGGUUUAGUGGGUUGAAUGAUGAACAAUGAAGCACUUUGCUGGGACUUUUGAGUUCGCAAAAGACUGUAUCCAAUGAUAGACUGAUUGGUAAGUAAGAAAUUUUGUCUUGGGUAAUAGAUUCAGGGGCUUCCCAUCAUAUGACUGGGACAAGGGCCUGCCUGAGAGAUGUGUCUGACAUUGUUCCAUGUUCAGUCGGAAUGCCAAAUGGUGAAACAACUGUGGCACAGAAAGAAGGAACGGUGCAUCUUGGAGGAGAAUUGAAAUUGCAACAUGUUCUUUUUGUGCCUAAUUUAAAAUAUAACCUGAUCUCUGUUUCACAACUUCUCAAUGACUCAAAUCUGGUACUGCAAAUAACUAACAAAAUUUGUGCUAUACAGGACCGAAAUACGAGGAGACUGAUUGGAGCGGGUAAACAACACGAAAGGCUGUAUUUUUUAAAGGCGGUGGCUUCAGCAAAUACUUGUAAAACUUCUGGAGUUUCAUAUUUCAAUCUUUGGCAUAGGAGAAUGGGUUAUCCGUCGAGUAAGGUGCUAGAGUUGAUUUCUACAGCAAAUAAAUUUAGUAAAAAUAGUGAUAAUUUAAGUUUUGAUGUUUGUUUUAGAGCAAAACAGACUAGAGAGAUGUUUUAUUCUAGUGACAAUAAAGCUAAGAAUUGUUUUGAUUUAAUGCAUUGUGACUUAUGGGGGCCUUAUAAAACUUUGGCUUCUUAUUAUUUAUUGACUAUUGUUGAUGAUUGUUCUCGUGCUAUGUGGAUUUAUUUGCUGAAAGGAAAACAUGAAGUUGCUUGUGUUCUUAAGAAUUUUAUUACUAUGGUUAAACGACAAUUUGAGAAGGAUGUGAAGACUAUUAAGAGUGAUAAUGGCACUGAAUUUGUGUGUCUAUGAAAAUAUUUUGAUAAAAAUGGUAUAUUGCACCAAACUUCUUGUGUAGGAACUCCCCAAUAGAAUGGACGAGUUGAGGGAAAGCAUCGUCACAUCCUUAAUGUGGCGAGAGCUUUGAUGUUUCAGGCACACUUGCCAAUUGAUUUUUGGGGUGAAUGCAUUCUUACCGUUGGAUACUUAAUCAAUAAAACACCAUCCGCGGUUCUGAAGGGAAAAACUCCUUAUGAAAUUCUCUUUGGACAACUUCUUUCCAAUAAUCAUAUUAGGAAUUUUGGGUAUCUGUGUUAUUUGCAUAAACAAUUUAGAGAUAAGGAUAAAUUGCCAAUCGAAGCCGUAUGUGUGUUUUUAUGAGGUACCCUUUUGACAAGAAAGGAUGGAAAGUGUAUGAUUUAGAAACUUCUGAGUAUCUUGUCUCAAGGGAUGUGGUGUUUGUAGAAACAAAAUUUCCAUACUCUACAACAAUGUUUGCAAGUGAAAAUUUCACUAAAAAUGCAGAUGGAGCUCAUGAGCAUAAGGAUUGAGAAAUUAUUGAGGAAGAUGGGAAGAUAUUAUAGAAAUCUCCUGAAGGCUAUCCUCCUACUGAGGAAAUUGCAGAAAUCAGUGCAACUGAAAUAGGAAAAAAAUUCAGGAGAAGAGAUACUAGUGGGAGAUCGGCUUGCUCGUGGACGUAGGAUUAAAUAGUCAUCCACUCGUCUAAAGAACUAUGUGACAAAUAAUGUGUAAUUCAGCCCCUUGCAACGUUCACCACUUCAACAGCAUUCCUCAGGUAUGUCUUAUCCCAUAGCCAAUUUUGUUGGCUAUGAUCGAUUUUCUUCACAACAUCGGUCCUUCUUGGCAAGCAUUACUGCAGGUUCAGAACCAGUUUCUUAUAAUGAGGUAAUGAGAGAUGAAUGAUGACGUGAAACAAUGAGAAAAGAAAUUCAAGCUUUGGAAAAGAAUGGAACUUGGACGGUGGAAGACUUACCCGUUGGGAAGAAGGCUAUUGGCAGUAAGUGGGUGUACAAAAUAAAAUAUAAUUCUGAUGGAAGCAUUGAACGAUACAAGGCUCGAUUGGUAAUUCUUGGCAAUAAUGAAAAAGAGGGUAUUGACUAUCAUGAAACUUUUGCUCCCACUGCCAAGAUAGCCAUGAUACGUACUUUUCUUGCAGUAGUUGCUGCAAAGAACUGGGAACUACAUCAGGUGGAUGUGCAGAAUGCUUUCUUGCACGGAGACUUGAAUGAGGAAAUUUUCAUGAAAAUACCACCAAGUUUUGCCUCUAAAAAUCUUGGGAAACCGUGUAGACUACGAAGGUCUUUGUAUGGCUUGCGUCAGGCACCCCGUUGUUGGUUUGCUAAGCUGGCAGAUUCUUUGAAGAAGUAUGGCUUUCAUCAAUCUUACUUAGACUAUUCAUUGUUUGCUUUUCGUGAGCAGUAUGUGCAAAUACAUGUUUUGGUCUAUGUAGAUGAUCUCAUUAUUUCAGGUAAUGAUGCCACGGCUGUGCAGCGAGUUAAGAAAUAUUUGAGCAGCUGUUUUCAUAUGAAGAAUUUGGGACAGUUGAAAAUUUUUCGGGUACAGAGGUAGCGAGAAAUGCUAAAGGGAUUUUUCUUUGUCAGCGAAACUACGCCUUGGAUGUCAUUUCUGAGGUGGGUUUGCUGGGAGCUAAGCCAGCGAAAACUCCACUGGAGCAGAAUCAUAAACUUGCACUUGUUGAAAGGAAUGACGCUAGUGACCCUGCUCAAUAUCGUCGGCUGGUAGGCAGACUGAUUUACUUAGCUAUUGCACGACCUGAAUUGAGCUACUGUGUCCAUAUUCUUGCUCAAUUUAUGCAGCAACCAAAGAAGGCCCAUUGGGAAGCUGCAUUACGAGCAGUCCGAAAUUUGAAGGGUAAUCCUGGACAGGGAAUCCUUUUGCUGGCCAACUCUGAUCUUAAAUUGUAUGCAUACUAUGACUCCGAUUGGGCAAGUUGUCCCUUGACAAGACACUACUUGACAGGUUAUUUUAUUUGCUUGGGCAGAUCACCUGUCUUAUGGAAAACCAAGAAACAACAGACUGUUUCACGCUCCUCUGCUGAGGCAGAAUAUCGGUCAAUGACUACAACAGCUUGUGAACUUAAGUAGUUAAAGGGUUUGAUGCUAUUUCUUGGUAUUAAUCAUUCUAGUUCCAUGCGCUUGUACUAUGAUAAUCAAUCAGCUUUACAUAUUGCAGCGAAUCCUGUAUUUCACGAGCGUACGAAACACAUCGAAGUUGAUUGUCAUUUCAUUCGAGACGAGAUACAAAAUGGGAACAUGUAAGUCCUGGUGCAACCCAAUGAGUACAAACAAUUUCACAAUGAUGCACAAAGAUAUAUCAAAUUUAAGCACAAUAAAGAAAACUUAAUUAAAGAGAAAAGAUAAGAAAUGCAAACCAAAUAUCAAUCCAAUAGCCUCUUCAAUAGAUGGCGAUGCUAACCAAGAUGUACAAGUGAAGGCUCAAUCCUUCCUCGCCCCAAACACACUUUGGUUGAGCCAAGGAGUUUUACAACUAUUCUAGAUAACCCUCAACAACCUACACUUGAAAGAUCACUCACCCAAUUAAAAACUAUUUUAUACAAAUGAGGCAACCUUCACCAAGGUUUUACCACUUCAAGUGAUAGGUUCACCUUCACCAAGGUUUUACUUCUCCUAGAGAGUAACCUUCACUUGAGCAACCUCACAACCCAACUUCCCCAACCCCUUAUACAACCAACAAAGAAUCUUUCUACUCAAAAAUCUCACUUGUAAGCUUGUAUUUUGUGUUGGCAAAAGUCUCUUGUCUUCUUGUGCUUUGGGGUAUUUAUAGAAGGUGAGAAAUGGCUUCAAAAGGCUCUCUAACGGUCAAAUAUUAAAUGCUGUCAAAACUAGCCGUUGGCCUGUCGGACGUCCGAACCACCUGUCGGACGUCCGAACCCUGCGUCCAAACCACCUGUCGGACGUCCGAACCCUGCGUCCGAACGUCGUCAGAGAGUCAUCAAAUCUUUGCGAAAUUUCUCGGACGUCCGAUGCGAUCGAUAUGCAUCCGAUGCGUGUGUCCGAUCCUUCCGGACGUCCGAUGCUUCCUCACGAGCGUCCGACAGAGUUUCCUUCUUGAUGUUCUUCAUCCUUUCGGACGUCCGAUAGCUUCCUUUCGGACGUCCCACAUGAGUGCCCUGUUUUUGCUUCUUCUUUUGUGCCACAAGAAUCUGUUCUAACAAAUUGCUCACAUAAAAACAUUAGCCCAAAUCUACAUUUUGGUUUGUUAAUCAUCAAAACCAAGGAUUGAUCGACCAAGGUCAACAAUCUCCCCCUUUUUUAUGAUGACAAACAAAAUGAAGAUUUUUUUUAUCAAAUCAGUUCAAAUAAAGCUCCCCCUUAGAAAGUGCCAACAUACAAAGAAAUUUCAAUAAAUCCUACUCCCCUUUUGGCAUCAAUCAAAAAAAACAAACUCCCCCUUUAUUUUUCAAAUCAAGACCAUAUUGAAUAUCAAAAUUUUCAAAUUUACUUACAACCAUUCAGCACACCUUGGAUCAAAUCUUCAUGAUGUACCUAAAUAUGAGAAAUUUCAUUUGGUACCCUUUCUUUAUAUGGUCCUUGGGAGUUAAUACGACAUGAUCUAGCAAUCCACAUGGAUUUCAUGCCUUUUCUCAUAUUUUUCUUUACAUAGCAAUCAUUUUGCAUAUGUCCAAAUUUGCAACAAAAGUGACACAUGAUAGAAGUAUUUUGCACAUAGGUGGAUUUAAUGCAACUAAUUUUCUUACUUCUUAUCAUAGCAAACUUAUUUGUGCCUUGAAAAGAUUUGCUUUCUUUUGUUUGAGAAAACUUUUGUUUUUCAUUUUGGAGAAACUCGUUCAAGUCAUUAAUUCUUUUCUUUAACAAAUUUUGUUCCUCCAACAUUUUUUCAUAAAACUUUGUUUUCUCUUCCAACUUCCUUUUCAAAUUAUUUUUGCAAUCAAAAACAUUUUUUUGAUUUUUUAAAUCAUCAUUUUCCAUUCUCAAACAUUUGUUUUCUUGAAAAAGUUUGGAGUUUUCUUCCAACAAAUCAUUUAUUUUUGUUUUCAAAUCUUUAUUUUUAGCAUAAGAUUUUCUCAAACUUUUAUACAUUUUAAUCAUAAGAAUUUUCACAUCAUCAUCUUCAUUAUCUUCAUCACAAGAAGAGUGAUAAGAACUUACCUCAUCUUCUCCAACGGCCAUUAGUGCCAUUUCGGCCAACUCUUCUUUUUCUCUUUUUGAAUUGCAUUCAUCCCAUGUAAUUUUGCAAUCUCCUCUUGAACAUCUCUUGUUGAAGAUCUUCUUGAAACUUUUGAUGUGAGGAGUUAUAUCAUUGUCCACUUCCAUGAUUUCAUUACCCAUGAAGGAUGGGUUAUCCCCCACUUGAGAUGCUUUAAAAGCAAUGCCUCUCUUAUACAAUCUUGCAUUUUCUUCCUCUUGCACUUUGAAUUUCAGCUUUAAUUCAUAAGAGAUUAGGGUAUCCACAAGAAAUUCAAUGGACAUAGAAUUUAAAUCCUUUGCCUCUUCUAUAGCAUUUAUUUUGUUUUCCCAUUCUUUUGGCAAGGCAUUCAAAAUCUUUCUAUUUUUCUCACCCAAAGAAUAUUCUUUUCCAAGCAAUUUAAGAUCUUGAAUAAUGUCACAAAAUCUACUACACAUCUUAUCAACAUUUUCAAGAGGAUGCAUUUUGAAAAAUUCAUAUUGAGAAACAAGUAAAGAUUUCUUUUGUUCUUUAAUAUCUUGGUUACCUUCAUGAAAUUCACACAAUUUAUCCCAAAUAUCUUUUGCUGAUUUACAACCUUUAAUCCUACUAGAUUCAUUUACAUCUAAUGCAUUGUACAAUAUACACAUGGCCUUGGCAUUCAAAGAAAGGUAUCUCUUGUCUUUUUCAUUCAAUUCUUGUCUAGUCUUUAAUCUACUCAAAUUGGUGGUAGAGUCAACUAUUCUAACUUCAUAAGGACCAUCUUCUACCACAUACCAUAAUUCAAUAUAAACGGAUUGUAAGAAAAUCAUCAUUCUUUGUUUCCACAUGCUAAAAUGAGAACCAUUAAACAUAGGUGGUCUAUCAAUAGAUUGCCCUUCUAAAAAAGAAACUUUUAUGGUUGCCAUGAUCUUUACUCUAAGCGGUUAAGAUUGAUCAAAAAAGACCAAGCUCUGAUACUAAUUGUAAGGCCUGGUGCAACCCAAUGAGUACAAACAAUAUCACAAUGAUGCACAAAGAUAUAUCAAAUUUAAGCACAAUAAAGAAAAUUUAAUUAAAGAGAAAAGAUAAGAAAUGCAAACCAAAUAUCAAUCCAAUAGCCUCUUCAAUAGUUGGCGAUGCUAACCAAGAUGUACAAGUGAAGACUCACUCCUUCCUCACUCCAAACACUCUUUGGUUGAGCCAAGGAGUUUUACAACAAUUCUAGUUAACCCUCAACAACCUACACUUGAAAGAUCAUUCACCCAAUUAAGAAUUAUUUUAUACAAAUGAGGCAACCUUCACCAAGGUUUUACCACUUCAAGUGAUAGGUUCACCUUCACCAAGGUUUUACUCCUCCUAGAGAGUAACCUUCACUUGAGCAACCUCACAACCCAACUUUCCCAACCCCUUAUACAACCAACAAAGAAUCUUUCUACUCAAAAAUCUCACUUGUAAGCUUGUAUUUUGUGUUGGCAAAAGUCUCUUGUCUUCUUGUGCUUUGGGGUCUUUAUAGAAGGUGAGAAAUGGCUCCAAAAGGCUCUCCAACGGUCAAAUAUUAAAUGCUGUCAAAACUAGCCGUUGGCCUGUCGGACGUCCGACAGGUGCCUGUCGGACGUCCGAACCACCUGUCGGACGUCCGAACCCUGCGUCCGAACGUAGGCAGAGAGUCAUCAAAUCUUUGCGAAAUUUCUCGGACGUCCGAUGCGAUCGAUGUGCGUCCGAGGCGUGCGUCCGAUCCUUCCGGACGUCCGAUGCUUCCUCACGAGCGUCCGACAGAGUUUCCUUCUUAAUGUUCGUCAUCCUUUCGGACGUCCGAUAGCGUCCGACAUGAGUGCCCUGUUUUUGCUUCUUCUUUUAUGCCACAAGAAUCUGUUCUAACAAAUUACUCACAUAAAAACAUUAGCCCAUAUCUACAUUUUGGUUUGUUAAUCAUCAAAACCAAGGAUUGAUCGACCAAGGUCAACAAUCUCCCCCUUUUUGAUGAUGACAAACAAAAUGAAGAUUUCUUUUAUCAAAUAAGUUCAAAUAAAGCUCCCCCUUAGAAAGUGCCAACAUACAAAGAAAUUUCAAUAAAUCCUACUCCCCCUUUUGGCAUCAAUCAAAAACAAACUCCCCCUUUAUUUUUCAAAUCAAGACCAUAUUGAAUAUCAAAAUUUUCAAUUGUACUUACAACCAUAUAGCACUUCUUGGAUCAAAUCUUCAUGAUGUAUCUAAAUAUGAGAAAUUUCAUUUGGUACCCUUUCUUUAUAGGGUCCUUGGGAGUUAAUACAACAUGAUCUAGCAAUCCACAUGGAUUUCAUUCCUUUUCUCAUAUUUUUCUUUACAUAGCAAUCAUUUUGCAUAUGUCCAAAUUUGCAACAAAAUGACACAUGAUAGAAGUAUUUUGCACAUAGGUGGAUUUAAUGCAACUAAUUUUCUUACUUCUUAUCAUAGCAAACUUAUUUGUGCCUUGAAAAGAUUUGCUUUCUUUUGUUUGAGAAAACUUUUGUUUUUCAUUUUGGAGAAACACGUUCAAGUCAUUAAUUUUUUUCUUUAACAAAUUCUGUUUCUCCAACAUUUUUUCAUAAAACUUUGUUUUCUCUUCCAACUUCCUUUUCAAAACAUUUUUUUGAUUUUUUAAAUCAUCAUUUUCCAUUCUCAAACAUUUGUUUUCUUGAAAAAGUUUGGAGUUUUCUUCCAACAAAUCAUUUAUUUUUGUUUUCAAAUCUUUAUUUUUAGCAUAAGAUUUUCUCAAACUUUUAUGCAUUUUAAUCAUAAGAAUUUUCACAUCAUCAUUUUCAUUAUCUUCAUCACAAGAAGAGUGAUAAGAACUUACCUCAUCUUCUCCAACGGCCAUUAGUGCCAUUUGGGCCAACUCUUCUUUUUGGUUUUUUAAUUGCAUUCACCCCAUGUAAUUUUGCAAUCUCCUCUUGAACAUCUCUUGUUGAAGAUCUUCUUGAAACUUUUGAUGUGAGGAGUUAUAUCAUUGUCCACUUCCAUGAUUUCAUUACCCAUGAAGGAUGGGUUAUCCCCCACUUGAGAUGCUUUAAAAGCUAUGCCUCUCUUAUACAUUCUUGCAUUUUCUUCCUCUUGCACUUUGAAUUUCAGCUUUAAUUCAUAAGAGGUUAGGGUAUCCAUAAGAGAUUUAAUGGACAUAGAAUUUAAAUCCUUUGCCUCUUCUAUAGCAUUUAUUUUGUUUUCCCAUUCUUUUGGCAAGGCAUUCAAAAUCUUUCUAUUUUUUUCACCCAAAGAAUAUUCUUUUCCAAGCAAUUUAACAUCUUGAAUAAUGUCACAAAAUCUACUACACAUCUUAUCAACAUUUUCAAGAGGAUGCAUUUUGAAAAAUUCAUAUUGAGAAACAAGCAAAGAUUUCUUUUGUUCUUUAAUAUCUUGGUUACCUUCAUGAAAUACACACAAUUUAUCCCAAAUAUCUUUAGCUGAUUUACAACCUUUAAUCCUACUAGAUUCAUUUACAUCUAAUGCAUUGUACAAUAUACACAUGGCCUUGGCAUUCAAAGAAAGGUAUCUCUUGUCUUUUUCCUUCAAUUCUUGUCUAGUCUUUAAUCUACUCAAAUUAGUGAUAGAGUCAAUUAUUCUGGCUUCAUAAGGACCAUCUUCUACCACAUACCAUAAUUCAAUAUAAACGGAUUGUAAGAAAAUCAUCAUUCUUUGUUUCCACAUGCUAAAAUAAGAACCAUUAAACAUAGGUGGUCUGUCAAUAGAUUGCCCUUCUAAAAAAGAAACUUUUAUGGUUGCCAUGAUCUUUACUCUAAGCGGUUAAGCUUGAUCAAAAGAGACCAAGCUCUGAUACCAAUUGUAAGGCCUGGUGCAACCCAAUGAGUACAAACAAUUUCACAAUGAUGCACAAAGAUAUAUCAAAUUUAAGCACAAUAAAGAAAACUUAAUUAAAGAGAAAAGAUAAGAAAUGCAAACCAAAUAUCAAUCCAAUAGCCUCUUCAAUAGAUGGCGAUGCUAACCAAAAUGUACAAGUGAAGGCUCACUCCUUCCUCGCCCCAAACACACUUUGGUUGAGCCAAGGAGUUUUACAACUAUUCUAGAUAACCCUCAACAACCUACACUUGAAAGAUCACUCACCCAAUUAAGAACUAUUUUAUACAAAUGAGGCAACCUUCACCAAGGUUUUACCAUUUCAAGUGAUAGGUUCACCUUCACCAAGGUUUUACUUCUCCUAGAGAGUAACCUUCACUUGAGCAACCUCACAACCCAACUUCCCCAACCCCUUAUACAACCAACAAAGAAUCUUUCUACUCAAAAAUCUCACUUGUAAGCUUGUAUUUUGUGUUGGCAAAAGUCUCUUGUCUUCUUGUGCUUUGGGGUAUUUAUAGAAGGUGAGAAAUGGCUUCAAAAGACUCUCUAACGGUCAAAUAUUAAAUGCUGUCAAAACUAGCCGUUGGCCUGUCGGACGUCCGAACCACCUGUCGAACGUCCGAACCCUGCGUCCAAACCACCUGUCGGACGUCCGAACCCUGCGUCCGAACGUUGACAGAGAGUCAUCAAAUCUUUGCGAAAUUUCUCGGACGUCCGAUGCGAUCGAUGUGCGUCCGAGGCGUGCGUCCGAGGCUUCCGGACGUCCGAUGCUUCCUCACGAGCGUCCGACAGAGUUUCCUUCUUGAUGUUCUUCAUCCUUUCGGACGUCCGAUAGCUUCCUUUCGGACGUCCCACAUGAGUGCCCUGUUUUUGCUUCUUCUAAACAAAUUGCUCACAUAAAAACAUUAGCCCAAAUCUACAUUUUGGUUUGAUAAUCAUCAAAACCAAGGAUUGAUCGACCAAGGUCAACAAUCUCCCCCUUUUUGAUGAUGACAAACAAAAUGAAGAUUUCUUUUAUCAAAUAAAUUCAAUUAAAGCUCCCCCUUAGAAAGUGCCAACAUACAAAGAAAUUUCAAUAAAUCCUACUCCCCCUUUUGGCAUCAAUAAAAAACAAACUCCCCCUUUAUUUUUCAAAUCAAAACCAUAUUGAAUAUCAAAAUUUUCAAUUGUACUUACAACCAUAUAGCACUUCUUGGAUCAAAUCUUCAUGAUGUACUUAAAUAUGAGAAAUUUCAUUUGGUACCCUUUCUUUAUAGGGUCCUUGGGAGUUAAUACAACAUGAUUUAGCAAUCCACAUGGAUUUCAUACCUUUUCUCAUAUUUUUCUUUACAUAGCAAUCAUUUUGCAUAUGUCCAAAUUUGUAACAAAAGUGACACAUGAUAGAAGUAUUUUGCACAUAGGUGGAUUUAAUGCAACUAAUUUUCUUAUUUCUUAUCAUAGCAAAUUUAUUUGUGCCUUGAAAAGAUUUGCUUUCUUUUGUUUGAGAAAACUUUUAUUUUUCAUUUUGGAGAAACUCGUUCAAGUCAUUAAUUCUUUUCUUUAACAAAUUCUGUUCCUCCAACAUUUUUUCAUAAAACUUUGUUUUCUCUUCCAACUUCCUUUUCAAAACAUUUUUUUGAUUUUUUAAAUCAUCAUUUUCCAUUCUCAAACAUUUGUUUUCUUGAAAAAGUUUGGAGUUUUCUUCCAACAAAUCAUUUAUUUUUGUUUUCAAAUCUUUAUUUUUAGCAUAAGAUUUUCUCAAACUUUUAUGCAUUUUAAUCAUAAGAAUUUUCACAUCAUCAUUUUCAUUAUCUUCAUCACAAGAAGAGUGAUAAGAACUUACCUCAUCUUCUCCAACGGCCAUUAGUGCCAUUUGGGCCAACUCUUCUUUUUCUCUUUUUGAAUUGCAUUCAUCCCAUGUAAUUUUGCAAUCUCCUCUUGAGCAUCUCUUGUUGAAGAUCUUCUUGAAACUUUUGAUGUGAGGAGUUAUAUCAUUGUCCACUUCCAUGAUUUCAUUACCCAUGAAGGAUGGGUUAUCCCCCACUUGAGAUGCUUUAAAAGCUAUGCCUCUCUUAUACAUUCUUGCAUUUUCUUCCUCUUGCACUUUGAAUUUCAGCUUUAAUUCAUAAGAGGUUAGGGUAUCCAUAAGAGAUUUAAUGGACAUAGAAUUUAAAUCCUUUGCCUCUUCUAUAGCAUUUAUUUUGUUUUCCCAUUCUUUUGGCAAGGCAUUCAAAAUCUUUCUAUUUUUUUCACUCAAAGAAUAUUCUUUUCCAAGCAAUUUAACAUCUUGAAUAAUGUCACAAAAUCUACUACACAUCUUAUCAACAUUUUCAAGAGGAUGCAUUUUGAAAAAUUCAUAUUGAGAAACAAGCAAAGAUUUCUUUUGUUCUUUAAUAUCUUGGUUACCUUCAUGAAAUACACACAAUUUAUCCCAAAUAUCUUUAGCUGAUUUACAACCUUUAAUCCUACUAGAUUCAUUUACAUCUAAUGCAUUGUACAAUAUACACAUGGCCUUGGCAUUCAAAGAAAGAUAUCUCUUGUCUUUUUCAUUCAAUUCUUGUCUAGUCUUUAAUCUACUCAAAUUAGUGAUAGAGUCAAUUAUUCUGGCUUCAUAAGGACCAUCUUCUACCACAUACCAUAAUUCAAUAUAAACGGAUUGUAAGAAAAUCAUCAUUCUUUGUUUCCACAUGCUAAAAUAAGAACCAUUAAACAUAGGUGGUCUAUCAAUAGAUUGCCCUUCUAAAAAAGAAACUUUUAUGGUUGCCAUGAUCUUUACUCUAAGCGGUUAAGCUUGAUCAAAAGAGACCAAGUUCUGAUACCAAUUGUAAGUCUUGGUGCAACCCAAUGAGUACAAACAAUUUCACAAUGAUGCACAAAGAUAUAUCAAAUUUAAGCACAAUAAAGAAAACUUAAUUAAAGAGAAAAGAUAAGAAAUGCAAACCAAAUAUCAAUCCAAUAGCCUCUUCAAUAGAUGGCGAUGCUAACCAAGAUGUACAAGUGAAGGCUCACUCCUUCCUCGCCCCAAACACACUUUGGUUGAGCCAAGGAGUUUUACAACUAUUCUAGAUAACCCUCAACAACCUACACUUGAAAGAUCACUCACCCAAUUAAGAACUAUUUUAUACAAAUGAGGCAACCUUCACCAAGGUUUUACCAUUUCAAGUGAUAGGUUCACCUUCACCAAGGUUUUACUUCUCCUAGAGAGUAACCUUCACUUGAGCAACCUCACAACCCAACUUCCCCAACCCCUUAUACAACCAACAAAGAAUCUUUCUACUCAAAAAUCUCACUUGUAAGCUUGUAUUUUGUGUUGGCAAAAGUCUCUUGUCUUCUUGUGCUUUGGGGUAUUUAUAGAAGGUGAGAAAUGGCUUCAAAAGACUCUCUAACGGUCAAAUAUUAAAUGCUGUCAAAACUAGCCGUUGGCCUGUCGGACGUCCGAACCACCUGUCGAACGUCCGAACCCUGCGUCCAAACCACCUGUCGGACGUCCGAACCCUGCGUCCGAACGUUGACAGAGAGUCAUCAAAUCUUUGCGAAAUUUCUCGGACGUCCGAUGCGAUCGAUGUGCGUCCGAGGCGUGCGUCCGAGGCUUCCGGACGUCCGAUGCUUCCUCACGAGCGUCCGACAGAGUUUCCUUCUUGAUGUUCUUCAUCCUUUCGGACGUCCGAUAGCUUCCUUUCGGACGUCCCACAUGAGUGCCCUGUUUUUGCUUCUUCUAACAAAUUGCUCACAUAAAAACAUUAGCCCAAAUCUACAUUUUGGUUUGAUAAUCAUCAAAACCAAGGAUUGAUCGACCAAGGUCAACAGAACAUUAAAACAGCUCAUGUAUGUACAACUCUACAACUUGCUGAUAUUUUCACUAAAGCUUUGGGUACUGAUUAGUUUCAAUUUCUUCUUAGCAAGUUGGGCAUCUCCAAUCUUCAUGCUCCAACUUGAGGUGGGGUAUUGAGGAAAUUGCAGAAAUUAGUGCAGCAAUUUACGAAAUGAUACUUUAGGAAAUUGCAGAAAUUAGUGCAGUUGUUUACGGAAUGAUAUUUUGGAAUCUUUAGCUAAUAAAUUAGUGGAUGUAAUUUUGGUAGUUCACUAUUGUAUAGGAAAUCUUUAUUUGUAUAGAUAUAGAAAUUAUAUAGGUAAGAUCCUUAUCUUUGUAUAUAAAUACAUCUUUGAAGUCAAUGAGAAAAUCAUCUCUUUUGGUCCUAGUAUUUCUGUUUUCUUCAGUUGUUUGUAUUACUCAACUCAUUUGGGAGUUAAAAUGGGUGGUUUUCUUUUUUAUUUUCAUCAUCUCUAGUUCAGUUAUAAAAUGGUUUAUUUUUUUAUAAUGUUUUUGGCACGAGAGUUCAGUUUUGGUAGUUCACUAUUGUAUAGGAAAUCUUUAUUUGUAUAGAUAUAGAAAUUAUAUAGGUAAGAUCCUUAUCUUUGUAUAUAAAUACAUCUUUGAAGUCAAUGAGAAAAUCAUCUCUUUUGGUCCUAGUAUUUCUGUUUUCUUCAGUUGUUUGUAUUACUCAACUCAUUUGGGAGUUAAAAUGGGUGGUUUUCUUUUUUAUUUUCAUCAUCUCUAGUUCAGUUAUAAAAUGGUUUAUUUUUUUAUAAUGUUUUUGGCACGAGAGUUCAGUUAUAAAGUUAUUGUUUUUUCUAAUGUUUUUGGCAUGAGAGUGUUUGUUAGAAUUGGCAAGUUUUUGUAUACGAUAUCCAUUGCAACAUUCUAAGGUGAUUAGAAGUUGUGAGCGUUGGUCUAUGAAUUAGAAAUUUUUGAGCACCAUCUAUUACUUAGUAUUUAGUAUUUAUUGCAAAUGUUAUUUUUUAUAAUACUGAAAACAAUUUAACCCAAAUUAAAAAAAACUUGAAGUCAGCAUUCAGCAACAGGUUUUUACCACUGAAUCCAACCUCAUUGAUUUUUCUUCACUAACUUUAGUAAAAAAGAGGAAGUGUAGGACCCGGAGCAGUAACGGUUGCAUUCUGAAGGUUAUGUGCAUUUACACACGGCAUGACACUGUUUGCACAUGGUGUAACUUACUUUCAAUAACGUGUAAUUCUAGAAUAAAAUUUUAUGGAUCCCACACAUAUUAUUAAGAACGAGAUAUAAAAUAAAAUCUGAACCUUACAAAUUUUUUUGGCCAAAUCUUGGCCAUGAACUGCCAAGAACCUGCAACUGUUCCUGCCCCUAUUCCGGAAGUGCAUGGCUUAUUUGCUACCAGUAUCCACAUUAUUGUUUUCCAACUGAAUUCAACGUCUAUGGAUUUUCUUCACUAGCAUACAAUAGGAACAACCGUAGAGGAACUGGCCUUAUUUACUAGUAAUAUCCUCAUUAUUAUCGUGGCUUCUCAAAUCGGAUAAAGAAAUUCAUUUUCCCCUUUUGUUCUGAUCCAAAGUUCAGCAUCCUCACCUCUUCUUUCUUUUUUCUUUUUCUUUUUCCUAUUUUCUCUAUUUCCUGGAAAAUUCAAUAUUUUAGUUUUUGAUAGUCGAUCCACCUAUUUAGAUUGCAAUUAAUAUUCUAGACCAGCAAGUAAAAAUAUUGAUAUUAACACACAAAGAAGGAAAAAGCUGCAUUUUGGCAAAUUAUGAUAGUCAAUACUUAGUAGCUAAGUAAUCCAAUUCGUCAUGCAAUCAAAUACUACCAUAUAAAAAUUUAAGAAAAGGUUAGUAGUAUUACAACUAUGAAACUCCGUUAGCCACUUUUAAUGAACUAAUAAAUGAAGCACCUAGGCAGUCUUAACCUUUUUUUUUUUCUGGCUGUAAUGUCAAAGCAUAGUAAAUCACGACAAGAAAGGUUGUAGCCAUCCUUUUUUUUUUUUUACCAAAUGAAACCUUUUCUAUUAUUUGCCUAGUUUCCUUAUAUUAUAUUUACUUCAUGAUAUAUACUAUAAUAAUUCAAGUGCAAAUGUUGGUUCAACAGCUGAAAAUUUAUAUGAAUUUUUUCAAUGAUACGUCUAAUUUAUUAUGUGAAUUUAUACACUCAUAUUAAAUAUAUUUCGUGUGUUUAGAUAUUUUUUUUCAAUUUAAUUUUAUUCUUACUAAAAAAUUAACAGGGAUAAGAAUACUUUUCCGAAUGAAUUCACUCUUACUAAAAAAAAGUUAACAGGCUCGUCUUGACCGGUUAGCCAAACCAAAUUUAUAGUACUGCCAUUUUCGAAUAGUUUCGGGUAGAUAGCCAUUCGCCUAUUGAGUUCGCUACAAUCCUUCUGCUCAACUGACAUAAUACAAAGGGAAAAAACAAAAAUGUAGUAGAAAUCAUUCUUCUUAACCUGGCAAACAAAAAUACCAAGUAAAUAUCUUUCCCAUUUCUACAAGAGCCAUACGUUGCGUGGAAUUAGGGGCUCCUAUCCAAGUGCUUACUUCGUAUCAAAGGCGUUUGAUAAUUUGCCUGAGAGAUAACAUGAAUGUUCUGAGCAGCCAAGCUGCAGGCGGAGCAGCAGUGGCGACAGUAUCCUGUACCCAUCGCUGUUCCCUUCAAUUUACAAAUCCAGUUCCUCCUCUUUUCUCCAAUCGCAGACCACCCAAAUUCCCACCCACUAAUACUCAUAAUUUCCCCAGACGCCGCACUGUUGCCAAUGCUGAAUCCACCACAAGCCGCCCCUCUGCUACUCCUACUGGCCCUUCCACUCCCCCCAAUUCCGCCAAAGAGGAUGUUCCCAUCACUUUGGUGGGCGAACAGGAUGUUCCUCUAGAGGGUGUCAUUCAAUUCGAAAAGCCCACUUCUUCCCCUUCUACCCUCAUUUCUAAAUGGGGGUAAUUUCUUUCCCUCUCCUCCUUGUUUCUAUCUUGAAUGUUUUUCUUUUAAACAGCUGGGAUUUUUCCCCCUCUGAUAUGAUGAAAAAAUGGUUUCAUUUUAGGUGGGUGGCUUUGUUGGCCGGUGGGGAUGCGUUGGCAUUGCUCUUGUUCUCAGCAAUUGGAAGGUUUAGUCAUGGCUUUGACGUUUUUGACCUCGAAACGUUGAAGACUGCGGACCCGUUUAUGGCUGGUAUGCUUUUCUCUGACUCAAUUUUAGUUGUAUAUAUGUGGAGAUAAUAAAAAUUGGACCUAGGGGCUGAGAAUAAUUAUUGUGUAUGGUCCCUUGGUAAAAUUAGGGUGGUUCUUGAGUGCUUAUUUCCUUGGAGGAUAUGGGGAAGAUGGUCGAGGCAUGAAUGGCCGGUCUCAAGCUAUAACUGUAGCUGCCAAGUCUUGGGCUUUGGGCAUUCCGGUAAGUCCCUUUUAGCAUUCUGUCGGACUACUAUUGAACUGGUUGAUAUUUUUAAAAUAUCAUUUUUUUUAGAUUGGUGAAGGAUUGUGGUUGAAAUGUGACUGAGUUAAAUGCCACCAGUUGCUAGUGAGCAUAUAUGUGGUUCAGGAGAGGAUUUAGGUUGGGGAUAUGGACUUUGGGAAACAUCAUAUCGCAGGACUCUAGUAGCUCGAAGCUCUUUUUUUCAGUUUAUAAAUUUUAGCAGGAAUCUUGUUGAAAAAAGUAUAGGAAUCUUGUUGAAGAUAGUUUCCGUCCAGUAUUUACCCCAAAUACACUUGAAAUUAGAGUUUUUAACACAAGAAUAGUGGUUGUUUACCUCUAGAGAUUUUCUGGACGUGCAAAUACCAAAGUUUCAUUCUAAUGCUUAUUGAGAAGGAGAAACAUACAGCAGUUAGGCUGCAACUUACAAUCUAUCAAGAUGUUAUCGUCUCUUGAAACUUAGUAUGAUACAAAAUUGUAGGUUAACGUGACAGUGAUCAAUCUGUAGUUGUGAUACAAGAAUUUUUCUAUUCAAAGCUAAUUUUGGAUUUCAUUGUGAUUUAAUAACUUUUUUAGUCUACCCGUUCUCUUUGGAAUGGGAAUCCUCUCCUCAAGUUGAAGACGCAUACAAAGUUGAAUAAGUCCUUCCAAAAUUUAGGCUGCACCUCAAGGACAGCAAAGGCCAGACAUGAAACCAAGAGCAGAAUGACCAUUAGGUUAGCAUCGUUUUCUUGUAUUGUUUGAACUAUGAAUCUGAAGGACUUCACGACAUGCGGAAUUUGGACAAGUUGGAUAGUCUUGGAUGUUGAUUUUCUUUUGGCCUUUGAUUUAACAAGGAUUUGAGAGUUGGGUUGACACACUUAACUUCUGGAAGGACAACGGCAGAUACUGUUGUAUCUCAUAUCAUACCUCAGAAGGUAUAAUUAUGAGCAGAAGGCUGUUCCGCAUAAGUUUAUGUGUGAUGAUCAACAACUUUGUUUCCUCGUAGUAGGGAUAGUUUUCCUAAUUCUAGUGUUCCUAGCAUUUGCCUCCUUUCUUGUAUUGGAUGUGAAAGAUUCACAAUGAAACAAUGAAUCUCAAUCAUUUGUUAGCUGUCCUGUAAAUAGAUUGUAAAACUUGCUCUGUUUGUGGUUCCUUAUAAAGGAACUACUACAUUCCUUGGCACUGCAUCAGAAUGGUCAACAACCUAUUUUGGGUUCAGUUACCUGCACAAAUGGAACUUUGAAUCAUUAAUGCUUGUGACAGGCAUGUCUCAUGCAUCAUCAUGCCUAAUGGACUCUCUUUUGAAUUUUGGCUGUAUUUUGAUAUCAAUUUCAACUUAUUUCUUCUUAUUCAUAAAGGACUUUGCUUCAAUUUUUGGUUCCCUCAUUUGGCAGCUGGGCUUGAUAAUAAGAGCAGCAACAGUCAGGCAUAUUCCGCCAAUCAACUUUAUCUUAGUAACCAUGGGAAGUACUGCUGUGUUACUAAUUGGAUGGAGAGCACUGUUGUUUAGCAUAUUCUAUCCUGACAAAAGCAAGAAGAAUGAUGUCUAUAGACGGGGGAGCCCUUUUGAACUGUUUGAGGUAUGAUUUGUUUUUUUUCACCUUAAGUCACAGAGUUGAAAUUUAAGGUUAGAGUUGUGUUCAUCUUGUAAGUGAAUUUUGUUCAUAUGAUUUCGUUAAAUGACCUGAAAAUUUUGAAAUUUGUUCUUUGCCAAUGAUUUAUAUGCAAGUCUUCUCAAUAAUCAUGACAAUGGUACCAGAUCUAUGAAGAACAAAAAUUUUGAGGUGUCAGUGUGCAUAGAAGAUCAGGGUCAGGAUUCUCCUCCUUAACCAAUCUGUGCUUAUUCAAUGAAAAGCUAAAACAAGAGAAUGGACACCUUUUAAGGAACUUUUGCUCUGUGAUGUUGAAUGGAAAUUUAAGCGCAAAUCAGCUUCAGGCUUUACUCAAUAGCUGAUAUAAAGAUCAAAAGAAAGUGAACUAAGGGUAAAUGAGGCCAUUUCGUGUUUGUUUACAUAUUUUAAAAGUGAAUCUGGUUUUAACCAUCUGAUGAAGUUAAAAACAUGGAUCGAAGAAAUUGCGUUGUAUCUGACCUAAAUGAUAUUGUGUCUAUGAAGUUUUUUACGACAAACAGUUGGAAAUCAGUGUAUUAAGAUAGUAUACAUUCCUGAUUGAUACCCUUAACCAGGAUGAAACAUUGUUUGGUUUUAAUUCCUGAUACAGACAAUUUUAUGUUUUGAUUUUGCAGUUGCUCACGUCAUUGGUGAGAAGGUGGUAGAUCAGGUAGUGACUUCCUACAAGUUUGUACAUGCAUUUCCUCUUUUUAUGUAAGAAGUGACAUUUCAGAAGCAAUCACAGUUUUGUUUAAGAUGUUCGUUACCUGUAUGUAUAGAAUUUCUACCACUUGAAGAAGAGCUUGUUUUCAAUAAUAUUAUUAAACAUGUAGCAAAGAAAGUCCUUAAUGAAGAAUGAAGCCCUUGUAAUGCUUUUCCACAUGCUCCUCAUCUUCUAAAUAUAUCCUGCAAUCCAAGGACUCACUUGUUCUGCUGUAUUAUUGUCACAAAUUUUGGGAACUGAUGUACCGUCACUUGAUUCCACAUUCUGAAAGAACUGAAGUUGCAGUGCUGCUUGAGGUUGUUAAGUCGUGACAUUUCUUAAACCUCCAUUGGACAAAUAUUUCGGGGCAAGUUUUUGAAACCAGCAGGUGUUUUUUUCUUUUCCUUUUUGGUUCCUGUACGUUGGUAAUUGCUAUUGUUGGGUUUUUCCUCGAUUGGUAACAAACUGUUGAAGACUAAUUCAUGCAAAAGUAGGUAAACUUCUCCCAUUGUUCUCCAUUGGGCUGAUGGAGUAUACACUGACAGCAGGGGGCGUGGAACAGAGGAAUGAAUGAUGACGGGAAAAAGCUAUUCUCUUCGUAUCUGAACUUAUUACCUGAUGUGUGAGGUGCAUGGCUUAAAUUAAAUGGUAUCAUUGGAUCAGAAUUAUCAACUCAUCAUGGGUUCUUGAUUAUUAUUGUUUGAAUACGGAAAGUGCCAAAGGUCAAUGAUGCUGAAAUUAUCAACUCUUCUUGAUUUAAUCAUUUGUUCCGUUCGUAUUACCAUAUCAGUCAGGCAAGGAGCCCACUUUGUAGAGAUGAGGUCUUGGGCCUUGUGGAGUUUUUAGUGCCUGCAAGGCUGCAAGGACCGGUGGUCCUUGUUGUGACUCUUGGUUCCAAAGACAGAAGAGUGAAAACAAAGAAAAACAAAAGGCAAAAAAUUUUAGCAGUGGCAGGUAAUGAUCCGAGGGCAAUAGAAUUCUCAGCCAUCAAAACUUACACGGUAUUAGAACAAAAACAUACGAACUAAACUGGCUUGAGUUUGAACAUGGAAUUUCCGUCUUCCUCACUGCGGGAAGGGUUUAAAUUUUUUCAUCUAGAGCUGCCAAAGAGUCAGUACUGUUUACAACUGAUUCUUUUAACCAGGAGAAGGGCUACCGACCUGGAGGCCACACAAACAAGCAUUGCCCCAAAAUUCAUGGAACAGUAAAUCUGUAAUGCAAACGUUGGGACAAUAUAUAUAUAUAUAUAUAUAUAUCUAUAGUUAAAAUUACUUAACUGCAGAUUUCACCAUAUAGUUUUUGUUAAUAUUGCUGCGAAACUAAUUUCAGUUGUUCAACGUUUUAGAUAAGACAACUUCAACCAUCAACCAACCUAAAUGUGUAAACCUGUUGAUUGCAGAGCCCCUGGUUUUGUCCAUGUAGUUGAAUAUUUGGGAAUUGUAUGAUGUUCCAAAAGAUUUUCAGGAUUGCUGCCUGAUGCCUAUCGUCUGCAUUCCAGUUGAUCUACAGCCCCUCUAUGGAUAUGAGUUUCAAAGAGUUAGGUCGGCGAGAAAGAUGGCAAUACAGGCGCAGCAGCUGUAAGCUGUAAUACUGGGGAUCUUAGAUGAUAAGACGGAUAGUGUCCCAUCCGAUGGAUCUUGGCUGCCAAGAAAUGCCACCCAUCAAUCUCUGUCUCUCUCUCUCCCUAGAUUUUGUCUUCACGGGGAACAGUCUGAUCAUCACUCUGUAGUUUGACUAUUUGCGUUUGCAUUAAAGAAGUCAUUUUAAACACAUCUUCUGGGAAUCUAGCUAGACUUUCUGCAUCUUUUUGUCGAGCGGAUUUUUCUUGCACCGAGCCUAGGAACUACUGCUAAUGGGUUGCAGAGUCAAAACCUUUUUUUUCCCUGAAUACUGGCUUAUCUUUUACUAGUACGAAUAUGCUCUACAGUAGCUUUUUUUUUUUUCAUGUAGAAUUUGAUAAAUGUGUUUGCGCUGAAUUUGUCCUGCUUGCUUAGUUGCUUUUCAAGUUGCUUAAUUGGUUAAUUUACGCGUCAAAACCCAGUUCCUCGAGUAAUACAAGCGACGAACUUGAGAACGACAGAACCAGCUUAAUUUGCUGCAUGUAAUUAAAGCUGGACCCUGGCAGCCCAUGUCCAUAGUCGAUGCAACUUCUUCUGGCUUUCCCGAGGAUAUGACAAAACUUAUGCACGGACAAAUUCUGCUUACAUGCGUGGAAUCUCUAAGCAAGAACUGGAGAACUGAACUGGAAAGACAAGUGCUGAUUCUCCAGUAAUGCGCUUUAACCGUUUGGGCUUGUUAUCCUGAAAAUGAAUUUUUUUUUUGUCCAAACGUUAGAACUCCAAAACAUAUCAUGGUGUAAAUAUUUUUGAAAUUGAAAAUUCUCACGAGAAAUAAAGAUACACGAAACAGUACGUGUUGUGCCCACCAGGCACCAACCACUGAAUGAAGCUUUUAAUUGUGGGGGGUGGGGGGCAUGGUGUUAUUAUUUGUUUUGGUCACAUUACAUUCUGGACAAAUUGAAACAUGUUUGCUCUGAAGAUCCAACCAUGUCAUAGCGGGAAACAAGCCUUGUACUAUUCCCUUUUCCAUUUAUGGUGAAAGGAAAAGGGCAAAAGGAGAGGAAAUUAAUAACAUCUUCAGGCCUUUGCCAUCAGCAGCCAUUAAAGGCAUAUCUUGUUUCUAACUUGUUGGUUUGAACUUUGAAAACUAAACAGAGAAAAUAGGCCCACAACCCUUCUUCUUCUUCUUCUUCUUCUUUUGGAAGGAACAACCCAUCUUCUUUAAAUACUCUUUUAAGUUCAUCCCGAAGAAGAAGAAGUGAAAAAAAUAGCCAAAAGCAUUUGGCACCUAGCUAGGGUUGUCUUAGUUGUAUGUAUGGUUUGUAUUUUUGAUUUGUCUAUUUGUACUUAUUUAGGAGUGGUAUCUCGUAUCUGGUAUCCAAACUCUAGAUGGCUUCUGCUUCUUAGGUUAUUACUCUAUUGGUGUUAAAAAUAGUAGCUUGUGAUGGAGAGAGAAAAUCUAAGGUGAUUGUGACCAGACAGUUUGCGUUAGAUUGUGACAUAUCAUUUUGGGGUUAAAGGGGGAGAAUUGAGGGCUUAGGGAUGAAGAAUCGAGUCGUUGUAACCCCUAUUACCAGUUAAAGUAUCCAGGAGUUAUGGCUUUUCUUUUACUUUGCUUUGAAGUCUCCUUUUACAGUAGUUUUACUUGCCUUUUUCCUUCAUUCCCAUAACUCCAUCCAUUUGUCGCUCAUCCAUUUCUUUCAUUCUCAAUUUGUGAAACAUGCCAUACAGUUGUCUUUCGGAGCCUUCUGGACACAAGGUAAAUUGCACUCUUUAACUCCUCUCAAAGUUUGCCAACAUUACAAAUAAAAUAAAGGGCAUCUCUUUCUUUUUAAUUUUUCUUUUCAAAGGUUCGUUACACUAAUAAAUACUUAAUUCUUUCUAGGUGGCAAACACACACACACACACACACAGAGUACACACGAAAAAAAAAAAGAAAAGAAAAGAGAGAAGGCUUUCGAAAAUGACCUUUUAUGGAUUGGCAUAGGAAUGAAAUAGUAGGUGAUUGAAAAAAAGAAGAAGAAAAAUGAAAGAAAUAGGUCAUUGGAAAUCAAAUAUGGAGACAGAUUCAGAUAUACACAAAAGGUUUCCAACUCAAAGAUGCAAAACGUAAGGGUAGGGGAAGGGUUAAGGUGAGGUCAUAGUCUCUUUUAACUCUUUUAGAAGCGGUUGUCGUUCUCAGUUGUUAAGGUAGUAGCCAACGAUCGAUGACGAUCACAAAUACUUGUGACAUAUGUAGUAGUAGUAGCAGUAACUAUUAUAUAUAUUUUUUUUUUAACACAGAAAGUAUUUCAAUUUUCUCAAAUUAAUCUUUCUGCGUAUACACAAGUGAUAUAGAAGUGACUCGAACACACGAAUUCGAGACCUAACUAAGCUAUUCCGAAAUCAUCCUACCCAACCCUAAGUCCAACUACUAGCAAAAGUGUAAAGUGUAAACCAUGCAUUAAUACAUGGGCGUAUAUAUACACAUAGGUAUCAGACCACUUUCAGCUAAUUGGCCUAUUGCUAUUUUGCAGCUGUUCCAAGUAUCUUGUUUAAGAUUGUGCUGUUUUGGAUUUUGUGUUCAUCUUCUUCUUCUCUUCUCGCUUCUCACGUGAACCUCAAUAUUUACUCCCCUCCUCCACUAGUGACAAGUCCUCCUCCUCUAUUUAUUUCUUUCUUAGUGCAUAUACCUCAUUUAUUCUUCUCUUUCAAUUCUGUCUCACUGCUGUCUUCCUCUGUCUGUGCUCUCUGGGCCUUAGGUCCAAGCCAAGUGAUUGGACAGCUGCGGCUGGCUCUACAACUGGCCUACAUUUCCUGAACAAUUCUUAGUUCUUACUCUAUUAUGUAUGUGAAUUCAUACUUCGUGUGCCUCAACUCCCCUUCCUAGGACAUGUUUGGUUCAGGAGUUCCUGGAAUCGGAAUUGGAACCAUAGACUGAAACUAGUAGUGAGUAUAAACUAUAAAGUUUUGGUCAUUUCCCUUUCUUUGUUUGGUCCGCGGAAGUGGAAUGGAUUUCAUUUUUAUUCAAGGGAAGAGCUAAUUAAUUUGAAACUCAAAUUAGAAGUAAAGAAUGAUAGGGGCACGAUCUAUUAGGCCUUGUUUGGAGUGAAUAUAUUUUUCAAUCACUUUCUUACCUCAUAUAUAUCAAAUUGUUACAAUAAUUUUUCUACAAAAAAUCCAGAAAAAUGCAAUCCAAACAUAACCUGGCCUUGUUUGGAUUGCCGGUUUCCGUCAAAAAAUUACAUCGUUUUCCGUGAUCACAUUUCCCUAUUACUUUUUUUCCUUACAUACAUCAAAUCGCUACAGUAAUUUUUCCAUGAAAAAUCACGGAAAAUGCAAUCCAAACACAACCAAUACUUCCAUUUUGAUUGACUGAUUCUGAUUGUGAUUUACUACAAAACAGAUACGGGUAUCGUUAACUUUGAUUUCCAUUCCUGAUCCUUAUACCCAUUUACCAAACAUUUCGGUACUUGUUGUUUCGCCAUUAAAAUAAUUUAUGUAAACUACGUAAUGGUUCUUUACCCAAAAAAUAUGUAAACUAGGUAUUUGGAUAGAAGAUUAUUGGGGAUAAUUUUUUUAAAAAAAUUAUAACACUUUUUUAAUAUAAUAUAUAAAAGAUAAAAAUGUGUUUAUAAUACAAACACAUAAAUUUGUAUUACAAAAAAAAAAAAGCAGAUAAAUUUGUAAAAAUAAUUUGCUAUUAUUCGGUUUCCAGAGUUGAGGCUUGGAUGCAAGAUAAUUUGCUAUUUUAAUGGCUUUGUUAACGAACUCGGUUGACUUUCUAGAGGCAGCCGUUCGGAGGCGGCCUGCAGACUGUAGUAAAAGUGUAAAACGAAAGGCAGAAAUAGAACCACACCAGAAAUUUAUCCGAAUAUGAUAAAUCUUCUAAUAUGGGAUUAAAUACUGAGAAGUAGUUGCUGCUGAUGACUCAGUAUUUGUAUCUGAAUCAAUAAAACAAAAUUUGAAGUUGCUGCUGAUGACAACUUUAAAGAAUUUAAGUGUCACACCGCAGGCAAAAAUGAUGGCUCCAAAAUCUUUUGUUUUCUUUCUGUCUCUCAACAUAAUUUAAUAUUGACCCUCUCUUUUGAUCAAAAUUCUGUUUUUAUUUCAUUUGCAGGGAAAUACCGACCAUAGAGACAUGGCAUUUCUUGCUGUCUUUUUGUAUUUAAUCUCUCUGAAUUUCUAUGUUGUUUUUUUUUGUAACAAAUAGUAAGAAAUUGCAUAAGACAAACUAGUUUCAGUUUACACAACGAGGCAAGCAAGAAAAAUUUAAAUGUCCCUACAUGGUUUGUUUCCCACAUCGGUUCUGGGAGGGGUCUGGGUUGGGUAGUUAAGUCCCUAAGUUGACUUCAAGAGUUGCCGGCUUUUGGAGUUUAAUCUGGAAUUAGGUUUAAUUAAUCAACAAAAGUCUAUUACUGAAGUUGAAAAAAAACAACAAGCUCUCUGGGAUAUUGGGUUGGUAGUUACCACUUAGCAGCAGGUGCCCUACAUAGUUUGUUAUCCACAUCGGUUCUGGGAGGGGUUUGGGUUGGGUGGUUAAGUCCCUGGGUUGACUUCAAGAGUUGCCGACUUUUGGAGUUUAAUCUGGGAUUAGGUUUAAUUAAUCAACAAAAGUCUAUUACUAGAAUUGAAAAAAGACAACAAGCUCUCUGGGGUAUUAGGUUGGUAGUUACCACUUAGAAGCAAGUGCCCACAUCGGUUUUGGGAGGGGUUUGGGUUGGGUAGUUAAGUCCCUAGGUUGACUUCAAGAGUUGCCGACUUUUGGAGUUUAAUCUGGGAUUAUAUUUAAUUAAUCAACAAAAGUCUAUUACUGGAGUUGAAAAAAGAAAAAUUAAAUGUCAACAGUGUGAAAAAGCAAGAAAAAAUCAUUCAAAACGUUUUUUACAUUUUGUCAAAUAAAUUUUUUUGUCUUUUAUUUUUAAAAUGGUAACUUCACAUCCCUCACAAAAUCAAGUAAAUAAAAUUUCAUCUCAAUCUAAGUUUUUGAAUUUUUUUUAUUCUAAAUCUAUCACAUGACCCACAAAUAAUCAUUUUUUUAAGGGUAAAACGGUUAUGUCCUAUUUGUAGUUAAAUAAAUGACUCAAUUUAUAUUCAUUUUUAUUCCUAAAAAAUAGAAUCUAAUCCAAAUCAUAUUCAUUUUUUCUGAAAAAAGUGAAAUCAAGCCCAUUCUACAUUAAUUUUUACCAUUCAAAAUGUGAGAUUUGACCUUUUUGUAUAUAAAAAAUGACUGCAUGUGGGUUGUAUAUUGAUUUUAUGCUAAAAAAAAGGUUGAAAACUAGAUUGAAACUAAAAUUUACUAACUUGAAUUAAUAAGGAACAUAAGGUUAAUAUUUUAAAAGUAAAUGGCGAAAAAAUUUAUGGAUUAAUCUUAUAUAUCACCACCCGUUUGGAUUGCAUUUUUUUGGAUUUUUUGUAGAAAAAAUACUGUAGCGAUUUGAUGUAUGUGAAGAAAAAAGGUAAUAGGGAAAUGUGAUCAUGGAAAACGACGCAAUUUUUCGGAGAAAAAUGGCUGUCCAAACAGUUAUGUAUCAUCCAUCCAACUUGUGAUAAUAUAUACACUGACAGUGUAUAUGAAAUUUACUCAAAAUUUAUUUGAUUAAAUGUAAGGGACAUUUUGAAUAGCUUUCCCAAGAAACAAAGCUAACAAAUUCAAAGCUGUUCUCUUUCUUAAAAUUAAUAAUAUUGAGUGUGUUUGGAUUGUAAAUUUUUUGAGAUAAUUUUGUGAAAAAGUACUAUAACACUUUUUUGAUAUGAUGUAUGUGAGAUAAAAAGGUGAUUGAAAAAUGUGUUGAUGAUGCAAGCAAAUCAGUGUGUGUAAAUAAGGUGUAAAUAAAGUGUAAAUUUUUAUAAUUUUUAUUUCUUUCUCUAAUUUCUGCAGGUAAACUACGUAACACCUAUCAAAGUACAAAUAAGUUAAGCUACAAAGUAUAAAUCAUGGGGGGAAAAAAAUCUUGGACCUUUUUUUCACCUCCUCUAGCAAAAGAACUACUACUAUAAUAUUCUUAGAAAUGCUUAAAAAAUCCUUCCGCAUGCUUUGAGCAAUUACUUAUUUAUACAUCUUUUUGGAAGUGAUGUAUUUGAGCUCCAAUUGCCCCUCCAAAUUAACCCCCCCCCCUCCCCAAAACCUCCCCUUCAAAUUUUGGAAAAUUUGUUUUAUACCCCAUAAAUACGCUUUAGUUAUGUUUUAAACUAGUUAUAUGUCACCUCAUUCUCUAAUCAAUCAAAUUGAGGGCUGGCAUCCUUCCCUGCCCAUGGGGUUUGCUCAUAUUUUAAAAAAAUAAAUUAAAGAGCAAGAUUUUCUUUUGACUUUUUAUUGACGAACAGCUCAAGUGAACUGGCCAUGCAAAGCCUUACAAAAAAUUAUUGCACCUUUUAUCCCACAUCUCCGCACUAGAUGUCCCCAAGAUGAAGCUAAAUCAAAAGGAAAAGGAAAAGCAAAUGCCAGGAUAUAUUAAAAUUAUUAACUCAAAUCUUAAUCUUGUGGCGCAGUAGUAGAGAAUUACCUUAGCUUGGAAGCAAAUGGAUGAAAAAUUAUUACUAUUUAUUAGUGUAGUUACUCAAAAUACAAGUGGGCACUUGUCAUUAAUCAAAAGGACAACCGAGAAGUGGAUUGGUUACUUUUGGAAUUGGAUCUUUCUUUAUCAAGAGAAUGUUGCAUGCAGAAGUGCAUGAAGGAUUUCGUGGAGACAGAUUUUCAGACGGAAAUGAUUUGGUUUGAAUCUCCAAGGGAAGACCACGAUUUUUGGGAGGGAAACGAAAAGGAAAGAAAAGUGGUGGUUGGAUCUUUCUUUAUCAAGAGAAUGUUGCAUGCAGAAGUGCAUGAAGGAUUUCGUGGAGACAGAUUUUCAGACGGAAAUGAUUUGGUUUGAAUCUCCAAGGGAAGACCACGAUUUUUGGGAGGGAAACGAAAAGGAAAGAAAAGUGGUGGUACUGGUACUAGGGAGGGAAUGAGAGAUUUGUGCAUGUGGAAGUGGAAGGGACUCUUUUGAUUAUGUGGUAAUGAUGAGCGAAUCCACCAACUCACUAUCGGCUACAAGCGAAACCACUUCACAAAAUUUAUUUUUUCUGCCGAUGAAUUAUUACUAAUUGCCCAAUGCUCUUUGGAAAAGGGAUCUCAAGUGCCCCCCCCCCCCCCCCUCGUGAUUUCACCUUUUACUCGCUCUAAUUUCAUCAGUCAUUCCUUUGUUCGUGGGAUUAAGGUUAAUUAAUGCUGCUGAAAAUUGUUUUGCAUUCCCAAAUACUGGACUUUUCUUUGAUUGAAAAGAAAUUAGAAUGUUACUACUGCUAUUCCCAAACAUGCUAUAUUAGAGUGUGUUUGGAUUGUAAAUUAUUUGAGAUAACUUUGUGAAAAAAGUACCGUGACACUUUUUUUAUAUGAUAUAUGUAAGAUAAAAAGAUGAUUGGAAAAUGUAUUGAUGAUGUAAGCAAAUCAGUGUGUGUAAAUAAGGUGUAAAUAAAAUGUAAAUUUUUACAAUCCAAACACACUCACUAAUUUUCUUCAUUUUACGAUCUUUACGUGGUAUUCAGCACUUUUUUUCCCAAAAAAAAAACACUAAUUUAUUGAUGAAAAAUCAUGAUUCAGCUUUCCUGUAAACUUUGGAGAUGGUUGGAUCGGAUGGUAAGAAAAAAGAUGCUAUAAGUAAGAGAUUUUGAGUUUAAAUCUACUUAUUUUUUAAAAAAAAUCCCUUUAGACUUUGGGCAUCCACAACUUAAGUUUAGGGCUGAAGAGGCCCUAAUGCCUUGUUUGGAAAACUAUUUUCCUCCAAAAAAAUUUGUAUAUUUGUUAUGAAUACAUUUUUCAAUCACUUUUUUAUCUUAUAUAUAUCAAAUUACUAUAAUAUAUAUAUAUAUUUUAUAAAAACUCUAUAAUAGCAAUCCAAACAAACUCUAGUUACAUGACAUCUCAAGAUAAGUUCCAGAAAAAGCACUAGAAUUAGCUGGACAUUCUUGUACUCGAGUUCUUUUCUUAAUCAUCAGAUAUCAGAUAUAAUACAGCGAGUACUUCCUUAGUUAAAAGAGAUGUUGGCCUCUUUCGUGAAACAUGUGGAAGAACAGCAACAUGAGCGGUGGUAUAGUUGUACAUCCGAAGAAUAAAGAUCCAUUACUUUGUGAAAUUAACUCCAUUAAUUAAUGAAUCAAUGGGAAAAAUCAAAAGAUUGGAAGCUAGCUACAAUAUCCCACAUUUAUUAGGAAAAGCCCUUCCUUUUUUCUCGAACAUGAGGGCCCUUUGCUCAUCAUUCCUGGAAUAUUUCAAGCAUGUCUGAGACCCACCCCCCACUUUCUGUCUGGAAGCAGGUGUUGACUAAGCACCUCGUUGCAACAGGGAAUUUCGGCAAAGCAUCAUCUUUGAUCACCUCUCAUCUUCUUCACCCUUUUCGGUUAAAAAGAUUUAAGCGAUUGCAUUAACCAGCUAAAAUAACACUUAGUACUACUAUUAAUUGAGUUUUAUAAGUUUCACUUUCCUCUCAUCCCACUCCAUGCCGACAGAUGAUCAAAAAAGGAGGUUUAAGCCUGCAAGUGUUUGAAAUUUUAACCAUUUUUUGUCUACGAAUCUUGCAAGCUCAUGGAAAUAGUUCUCUCUCUUUACAUUGACUUAAAUGGUAUUCUGUUUUAUCUGGCCAAAUUUGAAUAUUAAUAGUUUGUAAAUCUAAAAAAGAAAAAGAGGAGGAGAAGAAGAAGAAGAAGACGUGAUCAUCAUAUAUUGAAAUAAAUGCUAAUAAAUGUAAUCUUGCUUAUUUGUCUUACCGCGCAAUGAGAAUAGAAAAACAACAUGCCCUGGUGUAGCUGGGGACGGGCAUACGGCAGGCCAAUAUUCAGAGUAUCAUGCUAAUGAACCUUGGCAUAAAUGCACAUUGGGUACAAAAAUCUCUACUUCAGAAGGAUGUCAAUUCUGGUUAAGGGAGAGGGGGGGGGGGGGGGGUUAACUGCAGUGCAAAAUGACUAGCAAAAAAAAAAAAAAGAGAGUAGAUUUUGCCUAGAAAAAGUAGUCAUUAUCAAUAAUCAACUCUUUGUAUCCUAAAAUUACUGCUUAAACAUGCAAUUUUACACGUUCAUGAGUACAUCAAUCAUACUCUAUUACGUGAUUCACCAGAGUUAAUUACUAAGCACACGAGGGUACGACUUUGGCAUGCUUUAGCAUCCAACUUCUAAUAAUAAAGUAGCAUUUGAUAAUGAUUUUGCACAUCGCAUAAUUACAUGGACAAUGAUAAUACCCCCAUUUAGUUUGGUCAGAUUCUCCUUUGAAAAUCCUUGCUUAAUGCUCUGUACUUCUUUACACUUUAUCUUUGCACCUUUAUGUGUUACAUUUUGUAUCAUUUGUUGCAGCCAUUCCAUGCAUAAGAAAAGUAUGGAAUAGCCAACUUGAUCAAUGAAUGGAAAAAGCAAAUGGGAAUAUCAAAAAGCCACUACAGCAUGAAAUGAGCUCCUCUUUCUGUCAAAUCUUGUGGUCUUCAGAAGCCUUAUUUAUCCCAUCCCAAGGUCACAAUAAACAGCUUCUCAAAACUUUUUUUUUCCCCUAAUAGAAAAACUCACACUUAAUGGAGCGGCAAUAUUGAAUACCUUCUGAUUUUAUUAGUAUCAAUUAGGGUGGUCAUUCUUUUUUUUUUUUCCCCCUCUCAUAGGAUUCCAAUUGACUGACAAUGUUGAGAUCAAUAUAAGUAAAUUACAAUUCAGCAAUAAUAUCUCGACUAACCUACAAUGUAUCGUGAAUGAUUCUUUAACAAUUAAAUGUUGUUGUUUUGUAUAUGUCAGGACACUAUUUUGGAAAGUAAAAAUAAAUGCAAGGGAUCAUAGUAAUUAUUUUUUUGCUAAUUAAUAAUCAUUUUGUUGGGGAGAUUAUUUUACGAUAAAACAUAUUAUUCUUACAUCUAGUCAAAUGAAUUACCGUAGCACAAGGUCCAUGCAGCGUUACUCAAGUCUAAUUUAAGCAAUAAGAUAAGCCCAAUAGUUUGCUCAUUUUAAAAAUCCAACCGUAGACUUUUACUUUAGUUCCCAUACAAAUGAGCAAUCGUUGCAUUUUCUUACUUUUGAAAUAAAUAGUAUGAUAUCUAUUCCUUUUAGAGGAAGGAAAAAAAAUUACUCUCCAUUUGUUGUUGUUUUUUUUUUGGUUGAUAAUCCAUUUGUUUGUUGAAUCUAGUUAAGUCCGAAUUGAAUUGGGGAGGUAAAAGGACGAAGGUGGAUUUAAAAGUUUUAAAUUCGGACUCGCACAGACUAGGGUGGGGCACAGAGGAUCUGCACUCCAGAAACUUGUACUGUAUGAAGUGACUGGAUGGCCAGAUAUACUGCCUGUCAAAUCUAUCCCAACCCAACAAACAAAGCCCCUCCUUACAUAGAUAUAGACGGACUGUGAAAUGAAUAAGACCAAUUUUGUUCUGUUUUCUUGCUUUGUCACUAUAUACACCCUCCUCCGCAAAACCCACCACUAGAGUCAAGUGGCUAUUAUGUUUAUUAGGGAGUAGUAAUAUUUAAAACAUUUCAUUUUUUUUUAUAGCCUAAAAAAGGAUGGGAUAAAGGAUAAUAGUGGGAUUAGCAAUCCAUUAAAUGGCCCUUGGAUUUGGGUGCAGGUUUUUGUUGUAGAUUUUGUUAGCCUGGGUUUUAAAGGAAGAGGGUAUUAACGUUAGAAGGAUUAAAGUGAAAGAGGGAAAAAAACUUCAUUCCUGUGGUGGUAUUAGGCCCUUUGGUCCAGCCAAUAUAAACACAGAUCCCUAUGGAGUAUGGGAAUGCUGCUGGGAUGCAACCCAGCAUUGGUUUGCUUCUUGCUAAAAUUCAUUCCUUUUGUUUACUUCUAGUUUAAAGGGACCAGUUUCUCAAGACAUUUUUGGGUCUCCCACCUCUCUGUUUGUGUGUGUUUAUGAGAGAGAGAGAGAGAGAGAGAGAGAGAGAGAGUAGAAAGCAAGAGAGAUUUGUGGAGGGUGUGCAUAGAUAUAAGAGCUAGCUUCCCUUCUGUGUGUUGUGGGCUUAUUGUUUGCAUUUCUUGGCCAGCAGCUUCAUGAGUGUUCUUCUGCAGCAAGACUACAAAGAUCUUUAGAGGGAGAGAGAUUUGUUAGAAUGAUUACUUUAUAUCCUCUCCCAAUGAUUGAGUUGCCUUGAGGAACAGGAAAUACUGCUAAGAAGUAAAAAACCUCUAGAAGGAAGAAAAAGAAGAUGAAGUCUGUGAAUGAUAACAACAAUGGCAAUGAUGCUAGCAGUAAUAAUAAUUGUAACGCUCCAAACUGGUUGGGUUUUUCUCUCUCACCCUACAUGAAAAUGGAAGUUACUUCUUCUUCUUCUUCGUCCGAACAUCAUCAUCAUCAGUUCAAUCAUCAAAAUCAGCCACCUCCAACUUCAACUUCUACUGAUGUUCCAACAAGUUUCUGUCUUUCUUCUCCUCCUCACCUCAACAACAUAGCUUCUCCCGUCUGCUUUGGUGUCUCUGAAAAUGGUGGUUUUCAUCAUGCACCUCUGUCUGUGAUGCCUAUUAGGUCAGAUGGUUCUCUUUGUAUCAUGGAAGCCCUCAGAAGAUCUCAGACUGAAGGUUUAUGCUUCAUUCUCUAUUCUCCUGUUUUGUUUCCUUUUAACUUUCUUGCACGUUUUUCUUAUGUUUGUUUCUUGUAUGAAGCUAUGGGGCCAAAUUCUUCUCCCAAAUUAGAAAACUUUUUUGGUGGUGCAACCAUGGGAACUCAUCAAUAUGGAAGCCAGGACAGAGAAACAAUGGUUCUUAGCUUAGACAGCAUCUUUUACAACCAAAAUGUCGAGCCAGAAGGAGAGCCUAUUAGGCAAGAAAAUCCAUACUUUUCUGGUCUGCAAUGCCAGGAUAUGUAUCAACAUCCUUUACAUGAGGAAAAUGAUGAGACCAGAGUUGCUGAUUGUGAUACUCAAAUCCCAACAAUGACUGGGGAGGACCUGAAAAACUGGGUCGCUGUGGACUAUUCGGAUCAGCAUGCACUUGACCAGCAGCAGCUAAACACAGCUCCCAUGGUUGAAGGAGGAAAUGGUUCUGGUUCUGGAUCAGUUGGUUCGGUGGGUUGUGGUGAUUUGCAGUCCUUGAGUUUAUCUAUGAGUCCCGGCUCUCAGUCCAGCUGUGUUACUGCCCCUAGACACAUUUCACCAACUGAGGCUGAGUGUUUGGCCAUUGAAACAAAGAAGAGGAGCUGCGGAAAAGUUGCACAGAAGCAACCUGUUCAUAGGAAGUCCAUUGACACCUUUGGCCAGAGGACAUCUCAGUAUAGAGGUGUAACAAGGUCAGUCUUGACUCUACUCAUAUCUUUGCCCGCUUGUAUAUUUUAUCGGUGUUGUUUACUGAAGUGAACUGUUUCAGCCAUUUAUUAACUUCUUAGAAUUCCAUGAAGAUCAGUUUUUGGUAUUUCUUGGCAACUUUUUUGCUAUAGAAUUGAUUCCUUUCUGCGCUUGUUGUGUUCGUAUUAUGAAAAGUAAGCACCUCGUGUUAGUAUUUGCUUAGUGUUUUGCUCAGUCAACUUGGCACUGGUUAAUUAAUACAUCUUGUUAUCAGACAUCGUUGGACAGGUAGGUAUGAAGCACAUUUGUGGGAUAAUAGUUGCAAGAAAGAGGGUCAGACAAGGAAAGGGAGGCAAGGUUAGUAAGAAAACAACAAAUGACUUGGGUUCUAUACUAUUCUUUUGGAUGUAUUGCUUUUGACUACCAUAUUUGGCUGUUUUAUUCACGUUCUGACUUUGUUUUGAAUUUUGUUGUCGUCUACAUGCUCGCCUCGGAUUAUGCUAUUCCUAUCACAUGAUCCGUAUUUCAGUUUAUCUUGGUGAGGAUAGUAUUUUAAGUUGGUUUACAAUUUCUCUUAAAACAAGAAUAUAAUCUUGAAAAGUAUGUUAGUUCUAAUGAUUAAUGUGAAAUAAACUUGUACCCUAGGUGGAUAUGACAUGGAAGAGAAGGCUGCAAGAGCUUACGAUCUCGCGGCGCUUAAAUACUGGGGACCUUCAACUCAUAUUAACUUCCCGGUAUGGGUUGAUCUCUCUUGAUAAUGGUAGCUUAUAUGGUGAAGUUUUUCAAGUACUAAUUGGUUUUUUGGCGGAUUUUACAGCUAGAAAAUUACCAGCAAGAACUUGAGGGGAUGAAGAAUAUGAGUCGCCAGGAAUAUGUUGCGCACUUGAGAAGGUGAAAUAGUAAAUAACUAUGCCCCUUUAUUGGUUUUAUAAUUUCGUACCGUUAUAAGUAUAUGUUAUGUGGCUUAAAUUAAUGCUUUAUCUAUCAAAUAUCCCUUCCACUUUCAGGAAAAGUAGUGGAUUCUCGAGGGGUGCCUCAAUAUACCGAGGAGUAACAAGGUUCCUAUAACUUCUUGUCUUAUCCUUGUCGAUAUUAUUCUUGAAGAUCGGUGCAGCAGUUGUUUAAUUCAACUGAAGCCUUUUUUUUUUACUUGAAAUAUCAAUAGGCAUCAUCAGCAUGGAAGAUGGCAAGCCCGAAUUGGCCGUGUGGCAGGGAACAAGGAUCUCUAUCUUGGGACUUUUAGUAAGUGUUCUUUUGUGAUUAUUUGAGUAUGAAUGUUCCUGCUGUAAAAAUUGUUUCCUAUUUUAAUUCUGAUGUGAUGAUUUUGCAUGUUAGUUUUCAUGCAUUAUAAGUUUCAACUUUGAAUCCCUGUUUUCAUCAUCUCAUGUCUCCCUCCUUUUCUUUGGGCCACUAGAUACACUUUUCUAAGGCUGAUAAUGCUGCUAGCUUUGACCGUACGUAGAUAAUUUUCAGCGGAACGCAACUCCUUUUGUAAGGCUGUUCCCUGCCAGAUCAAAUGAUAAAGGAGAAUGAACAGAUGUCCUUUUGUUAAAAAUGCUAGAUUAAAGCUUAAAAAGUUUUAGGAGCUCUUAAAUUUGUUUUCUUUGUAAAGCUUUCCUAUAAUUCGAGAAAAUCUUGAACUUCUUCAGGCACGCAGGAGGAAGCAGCUGAAGCUUAUGACAUUGCUGCUAUCAAGUUCCGUGGUGUAAAUGCUGUCACCAAUUUUGACAUAUCAAGAUAUGAUGUGGAGAGAAUCAUGGCCAGCAAUACCCUGCCUGCUGGGGAGCUUGCUAGGAGGAACAAAGAGACCGAGCCGAAUAAUGAGACCAUUGAAUACGCCAAUGCAGCCCGCAAAAGCGAGGAAUGCUUUCAACCCGAGAGGAAUGCGAACGUUUCGGAUUGGAAAAUGGCCCCAUAUCAGCCCCCUCAGCAGCAAAAUCUGCCCAUGGACUCUUUCAAUGAGAAAAUAAUGAACGUUGUGCAUUAUCAAAAUCCCUCCUACUCAACUGCUCUACAUGGUCUUAUUGGCAUCGAUUCCGGGAACUCGAGCCGGGGCAUUGUGGAUGAAUCUGCUAAGUUAGGAGCUCACUUUUCUAACUCAUCUUCCUUGGUUACCAGUUUGAACAGCUCCAGAGAAGCUAGUCCUGAUAGGUCCGGAACCUCCAUGCUAUUUGCUGCAAAGCCUACUUCUGCUGCUAACUACGUCAACCCUACAGCAAAUGUUGGUUCUUGGAUUCCAUCGGCACAGUUAAAGCCAGUUCCAAUCUCCAUGGCUCACUUGCCAGUAUUUGCUGCCUGGGGUGAUAUAUGAUCAGGCAUGCGUUUUGUUACAUGUAAAGUUUUUGCAUGGAGCGGAGGGUAAAAAAGGGCAAGGUGGUCACGAGAAAAAGGAGCAAGGGGAUGUAGGAUUUUUAUGACUCUUUCAGUUAUUACUAGUUUUAUUUUGCUGAAUUGCGAGUGGAUAGCACUUGAAGCUUAAUGGGGAUAUAGACAGGAGGGGUGGUGGGGGGGGGUCCCCAGUUAUCUGUCUGUAACCAAGUGUUCGGAAACUUUUUCAAACUACAUGCCUUUUUGCGCAUAUUGGGGUGUUGAAGAUUUUGCCAAAAUGAAGGGAAUGGUAUUCGGCCACUUUUGGAGCUGGAUGGGGCUUCCAAGAUUCAUGAUUAAAUCUUGUGAAAUGAUAUUGCCAAUAUGGAGGUGACCCACGUAUUAUUGAAUCUGCUUUUUCCAUCUUUUUAAGGUCGCCUUAAGUACAAAAACCAGCUCAAUGUUUCUCAAUAAUGCAAAAAGGCAUUUCUUUGACCAAAUUGAUCUCGUUGCAUUCCCCUCAAUCUGCUGCUCAAUCUAGCAUUACACUAUCAUUGAUGAUUGCCGCAUACCUCUUUUCUGCUCUGAGCUUUUCCCCAAAGGCGACAGACAAUUCCUCCUCACUGUUGAAAAAAGAGGACUAAAUGGUUUUGCUUUAGGAUCUACCAUCAUUUCUGGGUAAUAAUUAGUUACAGAUCUGUCUGCUGUUUGCUGAAGAAGCAUUUCUUGUUAAAAAAUCUAUCUAGCUUUUGAAAUUCCUCUAGUAUGAUAAAUAUUGGCCCCCGCCCCCCAAAAAGCAAUUCCAUGUCUUGAUGUGGCAAUUACGGACGACAAAUAUAGAAUUUGCAUUUUGCCUUGGCCUGAGAACUUAACUGGUGUACACCUGGAUCUCAGUAAAGGGGUCAAUUCCAGUUAUCACAGAUAUUACCAAUUAAAUCAUACUUUUUCUGUUUAUGUGGGAAGUGGUUCAGAUAAAUAAAUGGAUGACGUAGUCACUAAACCACAAAAUUUGGUAAAAAGCUGCAAUUAUUUACUUACAAAAAAAUUUUUGCCCCUGUUUGAUGUAAUAUAAGGUGCUUUACAAGUUUUUGAUGUAAUUUUGGGGUCAAAAGGGGUUGCAUUAUUUUGGUUUAGGAGGCGACAAGGAGGAUAUGAUGCCGGGGAAGCUGGAAAAAAGGGGAACCUACCAAAUAAAGUUGAAUUACAACUGUGCACUAGCAUUAGUUGGAAGUCAGUCUUAUAAACAGCAAAAGUAGAACAAGAGAGUUUCCUGUUUUUAAGUGCGCAAUCCAUUCAAUAUUUAUCUUCUUCGCAUUAAGCCUAUAGGCUACUUCCGUUCACAUGUCUGAUCAAUUUCAAUUUUGAAGUCGUUAUUUGGCUCCAGUAAGGAUCGAACUCAUCUCCUACUCAUGAUAAUGACCCUCUAUUGUUGGUUUCCUGUCGAUGCUCUAAUAAAAACCUUAGCCGGAAACAAAAAUACGAAGGGCCAUAAUGGGCACAAUUGAUCGCUGUUGUGUUGUUCUUGAUGCUGCAAAUGGCAAGAAAAGGAAGAGAGAAGGGGGGGGGGGGGGUUGGGGAUUGCCACGUUUAGUACUAAUUUUCCUGCAAUAGUCUAUGGAUCUUACUAACGAGUGCGUAAUGGACAUGCGUCAAGACACAUUUCAAGUGUUAGAUUUUUAGAAAUGUUAGAUUAAUAACGAAAAAUGAAUUAAUGCAAGGAAAUUGAUUGAAAACAAUAGUGUAUAAAUACAAGAAAAAUAUAGUAAGUUUUAGUGUAUGUAUAUACAUAGUAGGAUGGGUGGAAUAUAGAUGUGUUAACGAUUGGAAAUCCAUAAUGAGGCUCAGACAAAUAAUUUCCUGUAGAUUCACAAAUUUAUAACCUAAAUCCAAUAGAGAAACUAUACAGGGCCAAUAGUCUCUUUUUGGGGGGCAAAAACGGCAGAGUAUUCUUUUGCUUUGAACUUUGAAGUCUAUUCUAAAUUUUUUUUUUUUUUGUCGAAACGUUAGCUUUAUAUAUAUAAUCCGUAAACUUUACAGUAUUUGGACAAGGGUCCAAUCAAACGGACAAACUGUCACACAAGAUCACUGAUGCCUAGCAUCUAAGAUUGGGAUUCACCCAUUCUUCAUCUACCAAGAUGUUUAGAGCAUAAAUGCUCAACUUAAUACAUUCUAAUUUCCUAGAGUUGGCAAAAAAGAUGGAGCACUGAUGAAACAAAGUACCUCUUUAAAUUUCCACUAUGUUUGCCUAUUGUUUAACACCCUCGAGCUUAUAUAUAUAUGUUCUAUGGGUUCUUUCUUAUGUUUAUAAUUCCAUUAAACCUCGUAAACUUUACUGCUUCAUGCACCAUAUUACAUUUUCCUCGUUAUUGGCUUAUUAUUGUCUUUAGAUUGGUAAAAAGAUAAUUUCAAAAUUGAAAUGAAAAUUUGAUAGAAUGAGUAAUGUAAUUACAAUAAGUAAAGAGAAACUUUGUAAUUGUGCUAUAUCUUAAUGAGGUACCUGUAUGGCGCAAGGAUAGCAAUAAGAAAUCAUCAAAUUUCUUCAUCUUUUUCUUUCCUGCUUCGAGACUUGGUCGGUAUCCAGAUAAAUUUUCUUUUUGAUUAAAAGUACAGGUGACUUUUUUCUUUUUUUUUUUCCGGAGGGGGCCCAAAGAAAUUGUUAAUUCCAAAUAGCCUUCUAAUAACAAGAAAUUGAUAUAUGAUGAAGGCAUAUAUAUAGCUCUCGAGCAUAUCUAAGGUCUUGUUUGGAUUGUAAUUUUUUAAAAAAAUAUUUUAUAUUUUUCAUGAAUACGAUUUUCGGUCAUUUUUAACUAUAGAUAUAUCAAAUUAGCAACCCAAACGAGACCUAAACUUUCUUGGUAGAAAUUCAUUAAAUAGUCAAUAAGAAUGCCAUCCGUGCGAAAAUGUACACGAAAAAAUCAGAAACUUCUCCGUGGUAGCUAGAGAAAAAGGAAAUGAUCUGUGAGUACAUAAAUUUCUCGUGUUUAGUCAAGAAUAAUCAUUACAAAUUGGUUAAUUGACAGCUUGACUGAUUGGAAACAAAAGUUAGCUCUCCAAUUAUUCAGCAAAUUUUGUUUUCAUUUUCCCCUUUUUUUCCACGGUUUAGGUUCUGCGGACCAAUUUGGUCCACGAAUGGCCUGCCUUAACAAGCCGUCAAAUACAGCAGCUAACAACAAUAAUAAUUGUAGAUGAUUCCAUCAUUGUCCAUGAAUUAUAUAUCAAGAAAACAUGACAUCGUACGAUUCACACUCCAAGGAAUAGUACCAUGUCGAUAGCUCAGGUAGCAAAGCUCCUAUAAUUGAAGAUGUAAUUUCUUUCGUGGCUGGCAUAAUAACGCUGGCAUCACUAAUCAAAGUACCCGAAUUGUGCUAGUUUUGUCUGAUAAUUAUCGGAUUUUGGCGAAUGUCAACUCAUAAAAGGGUGAAAACCUGUACUUCCGUAGACCAUUAUGAGUUGUAAUGCAUUUUUCACUGGCACAAAAUUAUUAUUAUUUCUAGUCAUAGGAAAUUUACUGCAGUUCAUUCUUCAUGUGACCAUCUAACAUAUAGGACGUACAAGAAAUCCAAAGUCCAAUUAUGCGACUCAAUUAUCAAGUCAUGACCAUGUUUUCUCUUUCAUGGUUGAUCAACUAACCCGGUCCUAGUAACAAGGGAAAAAGGGCAAAGAAAAAAUUGACUAUUUCAAACAGUUAAGACACUGUGUGCAAUUUCAGUGAAAGAAGGUAUGAGUUGAGUGGCUCGGAAGAGGAGGGAGCAUAAAUAAGAGAUCUCAUGUUCAAAUCUUCUUACUUACACUAAACGAAAAGAAAAUCGUGCAAUUUCAAUGUCAAGUUUGAUCGAUCAUGUUAUUGAUGAUUGUAGAGGGAGGUAUGGGUCGGUUGGUAUUAGUGAAUUGAGUGUAAGUGAGAAAUUUGGGGUGAUUGAGAGAUUUAAUAUUAUUAUGGAACGAGAGAUAGGUUGGAUGAUAUUAAAGGAGGAAGUGGAAUUGAGAGAUUUGGAAUUCGAGAACUUCUACUAACACUAAAAAAAAAAAAUUAUUGAUGAAUUGAGAGAUUUGGAAUUCGUCCCAUGAUGGGUAUUUUUUUUUGGAAUGCAAUGGUAUUUUCUAAACAUCAAUUACAAAUAUUACGGCCGGGCGGACCACAAUUCAAUUGGUACAAGGACGAACCUGGUCUGGCUGGUAGAUUUUGAAUCAGUCGGAUCAUUUUAAGUCGGACAAAGAGAGCCAUGCAUGGACAAUAUAUACAAAUCGUGUGGCCUGACCCUGACCUGACCUGACCUGCUCAUGGUCCCAAGAACUGCAAAGCCAAUUCGGCCAGCGAAAUUGCAAUUAACUUGGUCAGUUAUUUACAGUACCAUGCUGAUGGUGAAGAAGAUGUGACAAACAUUUGGUUUGAUUUCCAGUGAACUGCUAGUGCAGGAUUUAAGAAGAAAGGGGACUCUCUAUUAUUGAAACUGAUAUAUACCAGAUGUUCCCUACAAAGGGAGCUUGUUUCCUAGCAUGAAACUGGCUUUCCAUUCCCCAAAUUAUGGUCCCUCCCAUAUAUGCGGAUUUGCCUAUGCUUGUGCCCCUUGCCCGCAUUCAUGAAUCAUCAAUGUUAUGCGACCAUCCUUCCACGUGAAGGAGCAGAUUUUCUUCGGCUACUUAGGGGCACUUGGGAUCAAUGAAAAUGACUCAAGCUACUACUAUAUGGAACCCAAUCUCCAGUACCAUAAAUUUUACUAGCAUCUCCAACAACUUGCGACGUCGAUAUCAUAACUUAAUUAGGGUUCUUUUUUUCUUUUGAGAAUUUUGGUCAAAAAAAUGUUGUAUUUGCAAUUCUUUCUUGGCGGGAAGUGUUGGAUUCAAUUCAAUACUGCAAAGUCUCUUGACCCGUGGUUGCCUUGGGCCAAAUGUGGCCUCUCAAGUCUUAACAGAGGUAGGGCUUUAAAGUAACAGAUCAUAUCCAUGCCAAAAUCGACAACAACUCUGAACCGGAUUUGAUAAGUAAGUGGUAAUUCCAGAUUAAGAUGAGGAUUUGUUUUACCCGUCAAGUCUUAUUUUGUAGCUCGAAAUUCGGUUCCCAUCACUCAUAUCAGGAUUCGGACGGGAGAUAUCCGAUCCGUAAAAUUAAUUAAUUUAAUUUAAUAACUUGUUAAUGUUUGCUUGAUUCAUAGCACAUAUUUCGCUUUCAAGAGAAAACACAUGGGCUAGUAACAAAUUAUAAUAAUGUAUGUAUUUUAUUCGCUUAUUCAUAUAAAAUGGCCGGGUUAAUUAUAGAAUUCUAUAUAUUGAUCGGAUCCGUUUAUAAUGUGGAUAGAUCCGAGUAAAUGGACCUAAAAGGAAUUUCGAGUCUAGAAUAUGGACUGAAUCUUGCUUGGGUCGCAUCUCGGCUCAACUGGUUCAUUGACAAUCCUAAACCGGAGGUGGAAAUGUUGCUUACCCAAACAAAUAAAAAUGACAAGAUGCCUUGUUUUGACUGCCAUUUUUUCUUAAAAGGCUUUUACGUUUUUAAAAAAAAUAUUUUUAAUUAUUUUUUUAUUUUAUAUACGUUAAAUCGUUACAAUAUAUUUUUUAAUAAAAUCUUAAAAAAAAAAUAGCAAUUCAAAGGGAGAAUAGCCUGACUUUACCUGUUGUGUUAAAUGUUAAUGAUCUAUGUCCUUUUCCAUUUUUGCUUUUGUCUUUUGUGGACGGCAGGGGGGACAAUGUAAAUCAAAUCCCACGGAGCAGUCUUGUGCUGUGGGAACCAUCGGAAAUUUACGGUGGUACUUUAAUAAUGAAGCCUUCAACGACUGAGCCCAGUUUCACGUUAAUCAUGCUCAUCAGUCUGCUCAAUCAUUUAUUACCUCCGCAGACAUUUGGUGGUAAUUUCCUACAGCAAUUAUUCCCCUUAUCUUCUUCAAUCAUUUGGUUAGAGGAUGACUCUAUAGCUAGUUUUCUUCCUUACAGCUGUUCGUAUUAAUUGCUCUCUAAACAUUUUCGAAUGCAGCCAAAGGCGGGGGAAAAAAAAAAACUAUUACGUGUUAUGCAUUUAGGCACGAGUACUGAAUAGCGAAAAAUCUAUCACCUGUUCGAGAAAAAUAUAAAAUUUUACGAGUAUAAUUAAUUAUACAAGUUUAUGUCCCUCCCUUUAAUAAUUAAUAAAAUUCAGGGUUGACAUCCCUUUUACCCGUGCUUACGCGCAAGCACGCGCUCGCACGCACAAAUUUCAUGUUAUUAAGGUACACUUGCAUGGUAAUUGCUUGGACAGUGGAGUUUAAUGGGUCUCCCCUUGAGUUGGUUGAUUUUCAAGCAUUGUUGAAAAGGUACCCUGGCAUGAAUGUGUCCAUAUAGAUGCUCAUUAAUCCCACAAAAUAGUUUCAAAGAAUUGGUCGGGCACCAGCAGCAGCAGUUCAUCCUUUCGAACAGCUAGCUAGGGACUGCAAAAGGGAAUAAAUUAAAGGUAAAAUCCUGCUAGCAUGUCAUGUACCAUGUAAAUGUAAUUUUGUUGAAAGCAAUAAAAAGGGAAGAGCUGUCAACGUCCAAAAAUCUAAUGCUGAAUCUUGUUUCAAUUACAAUCUCUCUGCCUCGAUCUGUCAAUGAUCUAUUGUUGGAUCUUUUAUCAUAAAUCUUCUCUGCUAAGCUGUCGAUAUAGGGAAGAAAUAGAUUCAGAUCAUGAGAUGGUGUUCUUGCUUGCUUCACCACUGCAGAAAUUCACAGUUGUACGUGGCACUGCGACACUGCAACGACGCAGGCCUCAGCCCUGUCGUUUUGGGCCACCCUAAUUUACCACGGUUGCUGCUGCUGUUCUUUGGCUUUGUCGUACUCUUUGCCGGGCGCAUGCAUGGAUGCAUGCAUGCACCGGUUCUUUUUGACCAUAAAUUCAAAUGCACUGCAUCUUCAAUUGCGAAUGCAAGUGUGCGUGUGUGUUUAAACUAAGGAUUAAUCUUCUAUACACUCACAACAUAUACACUUUCACCAUUAGAUGCAUGAUACUAAUCCAAAUUUGAAUUUGAAAUCCAAAUUUUAUAAAUGUGUCAUGCGUCCAACCGUAAUAGCGUAUACAUUGUCAAUGUAUAUAAAAUUUACUCUUAAAACUAAUUAGGUGUACAUUGUUGUCAUCUCUCGAGCUAAAUUGAGCUGGGAUUGAGGCCAGGCAGCCAUAUUUCGUAAGGGCAAUACUUCUUCUUCCAUGAAAUAUUAUUCGUCUAAGGUUUGGAGUCUCCAUUAAACAAAAAAAAAUGAUUAUGUAAUAAAAAAAAUGGAGUUUCAAAGUAAGAUAUAUAAUUAGUUAUUGUGAAUGACCAAAUUUCAAGCGUAAGAAUGCAAAAAGAAGCAACAAAGUGAAAAUGUAAGACACGAUAUGUUUGAUUUCCCUUCGAAGUGAUUUUCAUCCAAGAGAAUUAUACACUUGAUUCGCAUGCGGAUUUUAUAAUUCAAUUUGGCUAAUAGUACUGCGUCAUUUCAUUAAAUUCCACCAAAAGGGGAAACAUGAAUCAAGAAAAAAAAAAAUGAAUCAAGAAGGAUUCAAGUCCUUGACAUUAAGCCCCAAACGAAAGCCCAGAACUAAUAGCAAUUUUGAAUGGAAGAUGUAACCAAUGGGCCUGAGAUCAACCACAAAUUGCCAACUUGAAACGAUUCACAAAGAAACUAGGCCCCGAAACGACACGACACAAAUGACUAAGGACCCAAUUGAGAUUUUGCCCUGUUUGUAUGCUUUGUCAAUUGCUUUGUUCCAUUAAGAAAAGGUUGUUUUUAAAAGUUUAGUUUGGGCCUCAACUCUCCUUCCCUCAGGCCCCAUGUCUAUAUCAACCCUUUUGCCACAUCAACAUUUUUUAAUGUAAUUGGAUAUCCAACAAAUGUGGAUGGCAAAAAGAAAAUCACGAAUUGGUUAUCGAAGUUUGAAAAAUUGGGAAUUGGUAUUCAUACUUCCAUUUUAUUCUCUUGCACUUCAAUCCACUCAUUAAAUAAUAUGCCUCCAAAGAGUGCAGGAGCCUAAUUUGGGAGUGCAAAUAUCACUUCCCAAAAAAUUUGAUAGUAUUAUUUGGAUGAAAGUGGAAUUUGGGAACUGAAGAGUUGUUUAUUAUAACAGGACUAGAUUGCAAAUGAAUCAAAUCACUCGCGAGAGCGCUCACAAGCCAACUUGGUCAAAACUUUACCCGAGUUCGAUCAAUAUUUUUAAACUCGAGUAGGCUCAAUUUUAAACUUGUAUUUUACAUUGAAAGGUUGUCGAGCUCAAGUUUGACAAAAUUGAAUUUCGACUUGACUCGAUUAGACCAAAUUUCAACUCAAUUCAAUUCGUUUGCAUCCUCUUUAUAUGGCUACAAUACAAAGGAUAUAGUAACUGACUUAAAGAUGGUUUUGGCGUGUGAUUAAGAACUCAUAUCCCGUUCCCCUUAUGGCACUAUAACAUCCUGAAAAUGAUAAUCACUUAAGAAAAUUGAAAUUAACUCCUACAUUUGAUGUUCAACUUUUAUAAUUUAUAAUCUAAGUAAGGAAAAAAAAAAAAAAAAAAGGAAAGCUCCUACCUUGCAUAAGGGGGUGAAAAUAUUAUAACGAAAGCAAGCACUACACAACGUUUUACUCAUCCAAGAUGCAAUGUCUCUUUUUUUUCUCUCUUCUUUUCAACCUUGUUUCUAAACUUUUAUAUUUCAACAAAGAAUUUUUGCAUCUACGAUGCAUGAGCAAAAUUCCUGAAGGGGAGGCACUGAAUAGAACGAAAAUGAUUGUUAGAUCGGGUACCUGAGGCCUCGUCCUAAGACUCCUAACCAUGUCUCGAUGCAACAAAUAAACAACCAUCGUAUUUCCAGCUUCCUUAACAGUAGCCUUUCUGCUUUAAUCUUAAAGAACACAAAAUUAAUGAUUACUUCGGUUCUCCGCAUGCUUCACUUCUUUUAUCUGUAGAUACUGUAAUAUGACGUCCAUUUAUAUACCGUCCAUAAUGAUUUCUAUGAAUUUAGAUGGUCAUCAUUCUCUCUUAGUUUCAUGUACUUCUAUCCCUUUUUUUUUGGUUAAAAGUUUGAUCUACUUUGGAUUAGUCAUCCCAUUAGUACAAUAAUUAACAACAUGUGAAAUUUGGCUUCUCACUCAUAUGAAGCAAAAUCUCUAGAAUUGGAAAAAAGAAAAGCGGGUGGCAACUUUCUCUAAAGGGGAGAGAUGGGAAAAAAAAGUUUCUUCUUGAAAAGUAUAAAUCUUCCUCGACAAAAAGAUCGAUUAGCAGUAAAGCAUGAGUCAUGAACUCAGUAAAGCAAGGCAUAACACCAUUUUUUAAGCAAGUAAUUAUGGGGUUAAACCUUUGAGGCUUGCCAACCAAGGGUUAGAAUUAGUGUAGACGUGAGCUCAUGAACACUUUCUUUCUAGUGUUGAAAGUUAAAUGUAUGUUACUUAUGGGGUUAAAUGUAAAUACUUAUGAUUUUGAAAGUAUACCUUGACUCAUAUUAGCAAUAGGAGUCAAACUUAUUCAAACUUUUUUCAUACCAAAAAAAAAAAGAUAAAAGGGAUAACGUAUGUGUCUCAAUUGAUUGCACAUCAUUUUCAUGUUUCAGAAUAAUCAUAGUCGAUUCUUAAAAAUGGUUUACUUGGUUUAGAAGGAGAUUCUUUCCGUCCGCUGCCAUUAAUGCAUAAUUUCCUUGGAAUCAAUAAAACGAGAGUUUUAACCAUUGGUCGAAACCCAAUAAUUAGGAAGAGUCUCUUAGAGUGUUCUCGUGCACUAGGUCGGAGGUUCAAAUCCGUCUAGUGCAUUACAAGGAAGCAUUGCGCUUCAUUUCUUCAAGAAAUUCAGAGAGCGCAAUAUCACACACUUGUGUUUGGUCUUGAGGUUCAUACCCCAAUCCUUUUCAAGCCCAGUUGGGCUCCCUUUCCCUCAUAGUAAAUUGAUUGCGGUAGGUUCAUACCCCAACCUCUUACAAGCACAAUAGGGCUCCCCCUCCCUCAUAGUAUAAGGGUAGUGUAGAUUGUUAUCGUUAGUAAAAAAAUAAAAUAAAAAUUUUGAUAUGCCAAAAAAUUUAAAAAGGGUUAAAUAAGCCUGUAUAAUAUAAGAGUCCACCUAUAAAAAAAUGAUUGAAAAUUAGAACAUUUGUAAACAGCAUACACAAAUAUAGGAAUUUCUAAAAUCAAAGAGGCGAGCCAUCGUUUCGUUUGUUUCUAUCACAAGUCAUAUGCCAUCUAGCAUAGAAUUUUCCAUAAUAUAAUAGACUGAUGUGAAAUGAGAGAAGAAUUCUCUUAUAGAACGAACAUACCUUAUCCAUCUUCUCACAUGUUUAACCUAAAAAACUAUGAUUAGCCAUAAUCUUUUGAGAUUCUUUACCUUUAUCCCUCUUAGGUAUCACACCAUCAUUGCUAGUUAGGAAGGACCACCUCUUCUGGAACUGCUAAAAUUAGGUCCACCGGGAGCCCUAUCGGGUGGCGCAGGCGUGAUGGUGUGGGGAUCAUUUGCUUGAGGUUUACUAGUUAAUUAUCGAGUUGAUUAUGUAUUUCAAGUACAAAUCAUUGAUUGCGUAACACAUGCAAAUAUUGCAACUGAUUUGAUAUGUUUCCCAGUGAAGCUAAGCGUUUUCCAUUUAUUCUUCAUGUAUUCGAACAACAUAUUCGUGCCGUAAUUGAAUUGAUAUUCGAGUUUGGUUUGUCGCCUUCCAUUUAACAACUACUUAUGGAUGAAUAUUCUCUUGAAACUUUUCUUACUUUUUCUCCCUUCUGUUUCCAAAUUUUCUCAAGCUUCCGAAGUGGAAAAGAUCGUGUUUGCUCCUGAUUUAUGUGUCUCUUGAAUUGAAAUUAAGUGAGUCGAUUUCUAACAACUUUUUUUUAUCUUACUUAAAUUCGGUCAUUAAGCAUCGAUAUCACGAAUCCUCGAAUCAAGCUUUCUCUUGGAACUUUUUAAUUUGCUACUCAAAAUUCUUGAUCUAAGAAAUACGCUGUUUCGUUGAAAUGAAUCCAACCAAAACUUAAAAUUAAUAUUUACAGGUCGGAAUCAUUUGAAGAAUUACGAAUUUCACUUUCCGAGUUUUGGGUUUUUGGCCAAAAUCCAAAAUGAACUUCAUUAUCGCAUUAUGCUCAGCAGCCGAACAGGACAAAUCACCAUUUGUUAACACUGAUGUGGUAGUAUUGUUUGAUUGCUCAAUCCACCAAAGCCCAUGCAUGCAUUCACAAAACAUAAAGCAUUAGCCCUUAAAUAUAACUCGGGUUUUUAUGCAAUGGCCGAACGUUAUGAAGUCCUGUGAGAGGUUUCCCAAAGGUUCAUAACUCACUCUACCGAAAAAGGAAAAAAGAAAAAGAAAAAAAAGGUAGAGGGAUAACUUCACAAAUCUCCUCAAGGGUUUAUGAUAAAUACAACUAGCUCCUUUCACGUCUCAAAAAUUAUACAUACAUCCCCUGAAAUUGAAUAGUAGUUUUUGGAUUUCAUUUGACAAAUAUUGUGGAAAAAACUAUAUUAGUAUACCAAAUUGCCCUAAUGAUUUGUUUUGGUUUUAAAUCAAAAUAGUCCAUGUAUAUAUCUUUUUUUUCUCUCCUAGUCUCUAACAUUUUGCCUUGUCUAUGGCCUAAAUCGCUCCCUCAGUAUUCCUUUAGCCUAAUUUACUAUAUGUAUGUUUGUAUUUUAAUUCUUUAUUGAACUUGGAUCAAUGGAUAAAGGGGCAUAAUCAACAUUGAAAUUUGUGAGAUAUGAAAAUUAGAAUUUUGGGGAAGAAUGAAAAACUUGGAUGAAUAAAAGAAAUAAGUCGAAGCAGCAGAAUUCAUGAUAGGGCUAUUUAGUGAGGGGAAUGCUUGGUGGCAACUUUUUUGCGGAGCCAUUUGACGUUUUUACGACCUUUUUAAAAAAAUUUUUUUUUUUCCUCUUUAAAAGAAAUUUGGCCUCAAUUGUUGCACAGGAUCAGUAGUAUCAUUCUUUUAGUUAUCAAAUUGACUUUGAGCUAUGAAAGGAGGUAAAGAGUAAUAGAGGGUACUAGAUGAAAUUACCAGAAAUCUCGAGGGAAUUUUCUGAAACUAUCCCAAAAAAAAAAAAAAAACAAAAUUAACUCAUCGAUUUCUUUUUUUUUUUUGUUUGGUAAGAACUCAUCGAUUUCUUUAACGUGCCCUUAAAUAGAUUUCCAAGUGUUAAGUUUUUUUUGAAAGCAUAACAGGAUCAGAAAAAAAAAAUGUCCAAGUACAAUAUGACACAGCGAACUAUAAAUGAAAAAACUGCAAUACACCAUCAUCAUAAGGAAUUUUUCCAGCAGAAGAGGAGUCAAAUUUAAAAAGGAAUUUUUCCAAAAUCUCAAAACCUCAGCUUUUUAUACUCCAUCAUUUAAUUAAGACGUUGAAUGAACUAAGAUCCACCUUUAAAUUAAAAUUCAAUAUAGAUUGCCCUAAUCCAAAUUGUUUAUUUCUCCAGUAUCUUGCUUGUCUUAGUCAACAGGGCUAAUGUGGUGGUGAUGAUUUAUGAGCUGCUUCAUUUCCACCCCUAAAAAAGGAAAAUCAAUAUUAUUGUAUUAUAAAUUUAUAACUUGAUCCAUCGCUUUCACUUCUUUUUUUUUUUUUUUUUAAAAAAAUCAUGAUACUAAUAAAAGAAACAUCCUAUUAGCUAUUACGGAGUUGGAUACAAAUUUAUUAUGGUUGUAAAUAAUUAACCACUGCUACUACAUAUGUAGUCAAUAAUUAACACACAUAAUUGAUUUUGCUUUCCCACAAAAUCAAUUAAUGAAAACAUAGAAGAUAGAUCUCCAAUCUAUAAGCCAUGCGGUCCAAGCUACCUGUACUAUACUAGAAACGCAUUCUGGAAGAAGAAUGAUUUGGUGUGUGAGUACCCACACUGAUAAGUUAGCUGUGCAAUCUCAAUCAUCAUCCAUCAUAAUCUCAAUUACACACAGUACUGUUACUUUGACUCCACAGCACCCGUCUUUCUCCUUGUCCCAAACCCUCAUUCCCACUCGAUUAAAGGCAAAAUAUUCAGAAAGAUUUUGUUCAUGAGUUGUCUUUAUUAAUUAUUAUGCAAGACUUAUUUUUGCAUUCUCUAAUGCUUUUUUUAUCCGGUCCCUUGGGGUUGGCUCGAAUGGUCUCAGGGUAAUCUAGUUAGGUUUCGAAGUUCUUGUGUUCGAAUCACCUCUUUAUUGCUUGUGUAUCUUUGGAGAAAGGGGUGAACAGACGCAGGAAAAUUAGUUUGACAAAGUUAGAAUACUUCUUGCGCUGAACAAAAAAAAAUACUUUUAUCCGACUUAUUAUCUAUCUAUAUUUAGCCCACAAACAAUCUUAACUCCCAUUCUUCCCUUGUUAAAUAUUUUAGACCAAUUUUCUGAAUCAGACUAAUACUAGAUCAUGACCAAGUGAGCAGAAUGAACCAAACCGUUCAUUUCGGAAUAACUUCAAAGUCCAGCAAGAUCACAGCCUUGCAAGGGGUUGACCGGAUGUUUCAGGUUUGACCAAUCGGUCGGGGUUUCUUCUUCAUCUCUUGUUACUGUUUUGAUCAAUUGCAGCUGUUCAAGAAUCAUAAUCGCUUGAGCCAGAAGCAGCUAUAUAUAUUCAUAAUAGACAAGUACAGUUCAGAUUAUAUACUCUCCCUUAUAGAAUAGACAUCUACAGCUGGAAAAAAAACGUACGAGGACAAUGAGGUAAAUUACAGGACGAGAUUCCAUUAUUCCCUGUGUUGUGAGAGGUCCAAAGGCUCUGCAGUAAAAGAAAAAGAUUGCACUGACAAAAAACCAAUAAACAAAUCUAUCUAUGAAAGAAAAUGGGAAAUUAUCCGCUGUACAUCACCUGCAAUAAUAUUAUAGUGUGAUAGACGGAUGACCUCAAAUCUUGAACCACACACCACGUACAAGAUGAACGACUUAGGUUGUACAGAGCAGAGGGCAUCUUCUGCAUGGGGUACAAUACAAUCUGCCCACAUUAUAAAUGUACGAGUCUGAUUUGGUCAUGAACAGUGGUCCUCAUGGAGUGUGAUGGAGCUCAGGUGCAUAAUUGGGGUUCUCAAAAGAAUUGUUAGGUUAGUUGGUACUGAGAAAAAUGAGUGUGUAACAGCAAAGAGAGGUCUGUUAGAACAGUUGGCAAAUGUGUCAGUAAAAAUACAUUAUUAUUAACAAAUAAAGGAAAAAGAAAGCUUGGGGUUCAAGAGAGGAACCAAUCAAAUCUGCUGCAAGCAUGAAAUACAGACUACUACUACUUGUUAAAGGAAAGAAUUUAUAAAAAAAAAAAAAAGUAGAUAAAUCUGGAUUUUGAUAAUAUUAAAUGGGAGAGUAUGAAUGGCAAAAGGAAAUUACAAUAUGGGAGGAAAAAAAAAGGAAAGAUUAGGUUCUCUAAUAAUUUAACUGCAAAGAGCAGUUGGCAGUAGUUAGUCUGUCUUUUAAAAUCAUACAUGUCACCUGUUGUUAGCUUGGGCAGGUAAAGUACUAGUGCUGUAGCAGUAGGCUUUCUUUAACACUUGGCGCUUUAUUUAUAUGCUGUCACUUGGGAGGACUCUAAAUUGUCAUUUUGAUCCUGUAACAAAGAUUGGAACUUGAUGCUUCUUUUUUGCUGUGUUUGCAAGUACCCAGUUGGUGAAUUUCGGUCUCAAGUAUUUUUGUAGCAUUUAAGCAAGCAUUUGAUGCUCUUAAUGGGGUACCAUCAAGUACCCAAUAUUGGGGGACUGUUCUGAUACCCUGCAAAUUUUUCUGCCCCUCUCUAUUAUUCAAAGUAGAAUUUUGUGCUUUUUGGUCAUUUUUAGCUACCUGUCUCAGAAUAUGUUAAAAGGGUCUCAGCAAUUGUUCUCCUCUUGGAUUCUUGUGGGGUUUCAUUGAAUUUGAGUAUUUCCUUCAAAGCUUCAACCUUCUUCAACAACUGGUACAUGUUACGAUCUUAAAUAUGGCUUUCUUGCCUAAGACCAUUUCAUUGACUUAUUUAAUGCUAUGUGUUUAAGGUGAUCAUGCCCAAGAUACUUAAACCUUGUUAAUUAAGUAGUGUCUUGUAAAACUGGCCUUUCGUUUCAUUAGAGUCCUGAGUGUGGUGAAUGUUGGGAGUAUUAUGCUUAUUUAGACUGAGAAGAAAAGGAGAAACAAAAGGGAAUCUGCUUUCUUUUCAUUAGUCUGGUGAGCUGUUACUUAGCCAUUGUCUUUCCUUUCUUCAUUGUCUACUUUAUGCUCUGAAAGGUUCAUACUUUCUUGUCUCCGUGAACUGCUUUUUCCACAUUACAGUAGACUUGAUCCUAGGGCUCUUGAAAGAAGAGUUAAGUAGCUGGUGCUCUGCUAAGAUUUUAUGCCUGCUACAUUGGAUUUCUCCUUUUCCUUUGUGUCUGUUGGAUGCGUCAAUAAGAAAUUUCUUUCGCUUUAUCAUAACAAAUAAGCCCCUCCUCUCAGACUCAGUCCUAUAAAGCUGCCAUUUUUAUUUGUUCCUUGUUGAGUCCUGCAAGAAAUUACCAGUCAUUUUUUGGUCAAACUUCUACUUUGCCUUUACUUAAGUGGUUUCUUUCUUCCUUAAAUAAGUACUACAACUAUCUAGUCUUGGUUUUUGGGUUAACAGUUCAACCUGGGGAAGGAGCCUUUUUCAAGGUGCAUUGGUGAUUGAGUUCCACAGUUUUGGGCGGAGAUUUUCUUUUUUGUGGUGUUUGGGCCAUGAGUAGCACUGAGAAUACCACAGGUAAUAUGGGAUUCCAAGAGAGUGGGGGUGGUGGUGAUAGCAUAUUGAAUUGCCCUUCUUCUGGAAUGGACACAAAUUCAAUGUCUGACAAGGUUGCAGGAAUGGCAAUGUGUUCUGAGUCCAUGUUCAAGUCUUCAACCAGGGUAGACCCUUUCUAUGGGGGGACUGGAUGGGACCCACUUGUAUCACUGAAUCAUGCUGAGAAUUUUGGUGGCUCUUCAGUUGUUCCUCAUCACAAUGAGUUUGGAAAUUCACAUUACCCUGUUGGGCUGGAAAAUCAGGCGAUUAGUAGCACUUCCCAUCUGGUUCAUUAUGCAUCUGAUUCAGGUCUGGGUGAUAUGGUGCCAAAAUUAGCGUGCUUUGGCAGUGGAGCAUUCUCGGAAAUGGUCAAUUCUUUUGGACUUCCUGACUGUGGCCAGGUUACAGAAACGAGCUUUCAUCAAAAAUAUGCUCAAAAAAUGGGAGUUGGUGCUCAGGAGGAUUGCCAAAUUUCAGAAGAGAGAGCUUUGGGUGGUAAUGGAAAGAAGAAAAGAAAAGCAUCAGAUUUUCAAUCUCCAUUGAACCCCAAGAAGGUAAAUGAAUAUCUUGUAACUCUUGUUUAUUGUCUGUCAUACGUUAGCAAUCUGAUACUUACUUGUUGACUUAUCCUUGCUGAAGAAUAUUGAAGGAGAGCAGCAGAAAGACCUCUCUGCUAACAGUUCAGAAUGUUCCAAGGAGCAAGAUGAAAUGAAACAGAAAAUGGAGCAAAGUAAUAGCACAAAUUUGCGCGGUAAGCAAGCUUCAGGCAAACAAAUCAAGGAUAAUUCUAACAGUGGAGAACCUGCAAAAGACACUUACAUUCAUGUGAGGGCCAAGAGGGGCCAGGCCACUAAUAGUCACAGCCUUGCUGAAAGGGUGAGGCUCCUAAUUUGACACGAGUACUUCAACUUGAUAUUUGCUAGACUGUAGAUAGCCAAUAUGAAGUAUCAAGUACUCUUUGAUUUGCAGGUGAGGAGAGAAAGGAUAAGCGAGAGGAUGAGAUUGCUUCAAGAACUUGUUCCAGGCUGCAAUAAGGUAAUAAUUCAUUGUGGUAUCUUUUGAUCAUCCUUAUCUCUUGAUUCUUAAUGUUAGAGCUGAAUGUUUAGAAUUUCAAUUGUUAAGAUAACUGGCAAGGCUGUGAUGCUUGAUGAGAUUAUCAACUAUGUACAAUCCCUGCAACAGCAAGUGGAGGUAUGCCUCUUAGAACAAUGACAGAUGCUGCUGGUUCUUUUUUUUUUAUUUAUUUGUUUUAUAUUACUAGUAGCCAAAUGCAAUCAAACUCCGUGCAAAAUUAAUAUCCAUCAAGAAAUGCUUUUCUCACAUAAGAUUGAUAUUUGUGAUGUAUCUAGAAAUGUCAGUUUAACACUUGAUCAGAAACUGCUUGACAUAAACCACAAGCUCUGGGAUAAUUUUUUGAUAAAAAAAUAUACUAUAAUAUUUUUUUGAUGUGAUGUAUGCAAGAUAAAAAGAUGGUUGGAAAAUAUGUUAACGAUGCAAGCAAAUAAAUUUAUACAAAUAAGAAACUAUCCAAACAAAACGUCACUUUAUACUUGUAGUGUUUAUCUGAAAUUUUUCCUCUGAACUCUGAGCACAAAUACUCCAUGGAUAGAUUGCUCGCAUAGGUCUUGAUGAAGGCAUUAAAUGCUCUGGAGAUGUAUUCCUAUUCUUUGUUUAAAUGGUCUAGUGAUUUCACCAAAUUUUGGGUGUACAAGUUUACGUACAGUUUUGGGUGUGCAUGGGUACACCGAAUUUUGUUAAAUGGUCUGGUGAUUGCUUUCAGUUUUGCAUGUAGAGUAAUUCCUUGAGCAUAACUAACUUUAUGGAUUUCAGUUCAGCAUAUGAUGUUCCCAACUGCAUCUAGGUGAACGAGUAGGUUCAUCGACACCUUUGUUGAUUUUGGACUCAAAGACUCUUUUACUUGGUGUAGCUACAUGAUCAUUGAGAUAUGUCUUCUCAUUUGAUAAGGUUGAAAUCACUUCCUUGCAGUUUUUAUCAAUGAAACUAGCAACUGUGAAUCCAGAGCUAAACGUCGAUCUUGACCGGAUUUUUCAAAAAGAUGUAAGCGAAUGUAAACUCCUUAUGAGCUGUUUGUUAAGCAACUUGGAAAGACUCUGGAGCCCAUGUUCAUUUUUGCUUGCAGAUUCUUCAUUCACGAGGCAGCAGUGCAGCUACUCUUGGAAUUGGACCAGGAUUGAACUCCUCUCAUCCAUUCCCAGGGUAUCCUCAGGGAUCUUUCCCAGGUAUCUCAGGUGCUGCCGCCCCGUUUCAUCCCGUGCCUCAGGUAGCAUAAUGUUCCUGAGUGUAUAGUUUCUUUUUCUUGGAAAGAAAAAACAAUACACUGAAAGAGAUGAUCAUCUUCAUUGUAUCCUUGUAGGCCGUCUGGGAUAACGAGCUCCAGAGCAUUUUGCAAAUGGGCUUCGAUUCUAGUCCCUCCAUCAACAAUCUAGGACCAAAUGGUAGGCUCAAUGAGCAACACCUAGAUUUGUUGAGAAAGCAUAAUGUAUCUACCAUUUUCAUCUUUCUCUGUUCCUGGUGUGAUUUCCUGUCUUCUAAUGAUAAGAUGAUAAUUUAUGAUGCUCAGCAGGGCGGUCGAAAUUGGAGCUAUAGAGCUGGGGAAAGUCUCGAGUUUUCCUUUGUCCAUCAGUAACUACAGCAUUCAAAUAUUGACUGCAGAUUUGAUUUCAAUACUGAAGCAAGAGAUAAUAGCUAAACAUUAUUCUUGGGAUUGUAUAGGUCGCAUCUCCUAACUGUUUCGUUCUUCGAAUUUUAGAGAAGAAAAUGACCUCUUAGAUUUACAAAAUCAUGUAAAUUCACAGCAAGACUUCAAUUGAUGAAGAUGAUUGUUUUGAUUGGUGUUCUUGUAGAAUAUGAUUUAUGUGUAGUUUCUCGAGAAUUUCGAGAAGAAAACGAUUUGCUAGCCAUCAGUGUUUUGAUUGGAAGAUGCAUGGGAUGUGUCAUGAGAUGGAUUGCUACAUAUUCUACAUGCCUUGCUCCAUUUAGUUAAAUGGAUCAUGUGACUAGUUACUUGUAUUUUGAUCUUAUCCAGAAACCUGAUCUCGCUUUUAAGCUUAAUUGUAUAUUCAGUUUAGAAUACAAGAUAGAUCAAGAAAAUCAUGUCAAAACACCAGAUAAUAUGAUGAAUUAAUAAAAAAUGUCGGAAUAAACUUGUCAAAUUUUAACAAGAGCACCAUUAUUUGGUCAAAGGUAUCUCUCUCUCUCUCUCUCUCUCUCUCUUCCCUUUUCAUUUCUUGGACUGGUGUUUGGAUUGGCGUUAUUUUACGUUUUCUGUGAGCAUUUAUGUAUAUAUAUAUAUAUUUUAAUUACAUAUAUCAAAUUGCUAUAAUAUAUUUUUUAAUAAAAAUUUAGAAAAAUAACAAUCCAAUAGGUAUGAUGGAAAAUUGAUCAAAUUUCUAUACCAGUUUUUUGGUCCAAAAUUACUACCAUUCCUGAUUUAUUUUACGCAUGUACUUCUGUUAUUUAUUAAAAAAAAUCCAUUUACUGAAAAUUCAUAGUCUCAUGCUAAUAAUAUAAGUUUGACGCAAAUGUUAAAAAACUAUUUGUUUGGGUUGCUCCUACAUGGAUGUGCAUUAGUUUUUACAAUGUUUUCAAUUGUAUUGUAUAUCAAAAGAGGUCUUAAAAAAAAACUAAUGUAGAAAGUCAGAAGCUACAAAAGAGGUAUUUUAGAAUACCUCAUUAUUUUUCUUCUCUCUUCCUCUCUCUACCAACCCUCGAACUCUUGACCUUAUGGUCUGCAACACAUGCUACUACCAACAAGGCAUAAGAAGAGCCGGUGCAAGGACUUGGAAAUUAAUCAAUGUAGAACGAACUUUCGUAAAGGCCCAAAGCCCAUCUCCCCACCAUAAAAUCUGGAUUUCUCUGGCUCAGGUCCAUCCGCGAAAAUCGAAAGGGAGAAUAAUUACCUAUAUGCCUAAUUUUGUCUGCAUUACAAAAGGACAUAUCUAACCCUAUGUACAAGUUUUUUGUUUUUGUUUUCUCUAUUUUGGGAAACCGUAUAAGAUUUAGACCUUGUUUGAUAACCCAAUUCAGCACUUAAAUUUAAUAGAUUCAAAUUGUUUGAUAACUAAAAAUUGAACAUCUGAAUUAAUUAAGUGGCACUGAAUUUUCUAAACAAAAUUUACUCCCAAAAUUAAGUGAUAAACUAUUCACUUAACACUGAAUGUGAUAUGCACUUAAAUAUAUUAGAUUUAAUGUUUAAUAAUUCAAUAACUUAAUUGAUUCAGAUUUCAAAUUUCAACUUUAUCAAAUGCACCCUUAUUUUGUCUGCAUUAUAAAAGGACAUAUCCAAACCUAUGUACAGUUUUUCUUUUCUUUUCUUUUCUCUAUAUUGGGAAACCGUAAACAAAAAUAUAGAAUCGUUGUAACAUAAAAAGAGAAAGUUGUACCAUGGGCUAUUAGCUACGAGAAGCCCAAAAUGGACAAAUUUGCUUUGUGCAAAUCAGAGUUGUGUGGUCCAACCAGUCUCAUAGGAUAGAUAAAGAAGUUUGUGGUCCAAUGUACGAUACAUAAGCGGCUGGAGUCUAGCCAUGUAGUAACUGAUUACCCGAAGGACCUUCAAUGUUGGACCAUUCCAUCUUUUUCCUCUUUCCCUCUUGGUCUCUAAGAAGCCCAAGUUUGAAUAGUCUUUAUUGGGUACCAAUCCUAGUCUUUUUCGGGUACCCAUUUGGGUACCAUUUCCACAUUCCUUCCUUCCCUCAUACCUUGUUUUAUUCCUUUUAACACAUCCAGGUCCCUACUAUAGGUAGGUUGGCUUGUUGUAAGAUGAAAACAUCUUACCGAAGUUGCACAUCUGUAUUAGUAUUAAUUUAUAAUUUGUUGACUGGUUUUACCUAAAUACUUAUUUAAUUAAUAAAAGAUCGAAAUCAAGUUUCAAUAGCCUCAAAGAUACAAGAAAUUAACCUUGGAAGACUUUUAGAUUGCAAUGAUUUAUGGAGAAAAUCUGCUUACUUACCCUGAUUUUACACAAGACUUAGUUAGGUAUCAAUCUGGAGUGAAUAAUGGAAAUCCUUUAUUUCUCCAAAGUGAAAGAGAUUUUUUUUUAGAGUAAAUCUUAUCUACACUGACAGUGUAUACACUAUCACGGUUGGAUGCAUGACACAUGAGCAAAAUUUGGAAUUUAAAUUUAAAUUCAGGUGAGUUGUCAUGCAUCUAAUGAUGAUGGUGUACACACUGUCAGUGUAUAAAAAAUUAAUCUUUUUUUUAUCCAAAAAAGUUUAAGAAAAAGAUGAGACUCCUUUCAUUCUAAAGUCAGGGCAUAUAACCACUAACACAUUAAGCGACUUAUAAUAUGAAAUGCGGCUGCUCAUUAUCUCUGGCCAAAUGGCUGUUAAUAUGAAAAUGUAGAAUAACUUGGUGCCACCAAUCGAUUUGUAACGCCGCCUCCUCUAAUGAUUUGUAUGAAUGAAUGGAGGGAUGUUUUCUUUUCAAUUUCAAUGUAUAUAUAUAUAUAUAUGUAUGUAUGUAUAUUUGAACUUAAUUCAAGCACGUGGUACGAAGGAACAUCAAAGCGGACUGCAAAUGACAACUCAAUAACCUUUUGAGAGGCUACAAAGCCGGUUUUGCUUUGUUUGGCAAACGGUUCAAAUAUCAUCAGCGGUAGAGAAAACGGCCGAGACAAAGAGACGUUGGCAACUACUUAACGGAGGAGUUUGUAAGAGAAACAGAGAGAUAGAGAGGGAUUGUGACAAAGAAGCAUGAGCUGGACCGGACCCAUGAACAAACGGAGACCGUCAGUUUAAUGCUGAAAACUAUGGCCAUGUUUGUUUGCUUCAGAGGUUUCAAGGAAAAUAGGUAUGUUAUAGACAAACGUCACAUGCAAAGAUGUUAGAACUAAAUAUUUUUAGAAAACAUCACAUGCAAUGUCCUUAUUAUUCAAAAAAAAAAAACUUUUUAUUAUUGAUGGACCAUAGCCCACAAGGCCACAAAUACUUUGGUAGGCAGAAGAAUGCUCAACAAACACUCUUCAGACUGACCAAGCUUUUUGUAUCUCUCUGUCUCUCAGUGUUCAUUUAAGUUGCUUAACUGCCAAUUUGCUGAAGAAGGUAUUGAUUUCAAUAUUGCUGUUCUGGCUUAUACUCCAUUGUUUAUGCGCAUUGCAUUUGGGUACGUUUGAAGGCAGACUUCAAUGAGGGGGUUAGAUCAUAAUUACUCAAAACUUAAAUGCAUGCCACUACCCACUUAUCAUCAUGUCUGUAUGUCUGUAUCAGAACAAAAGAUUUACAGUCAAAGAGAAUGGAUCCAUGCUCAUUUCCUAUAUUUCUCCAGGCCAGAGAUUCCAAGAAUACAACAUGAGUCCCAACUCACCACAGAAAACAGACUCUUGAAAAAGAGUCCUGAGAGAAACAGUUGAUUUGGUCAAACAGAUUUGGAGUCUGCUGUUGAAAAGUACAAGGGCCAUGAAGGAAGUUCAACUUUGAAAGUAAAGUGGAAGAGAGGACGAGAAGAUGCCGCCGUAGUAAGAAAAAGAACCUUCACAAGGCAUGUAAUUUUAAUCCAAAAUAUACAAGAAUUCCACAGGGCAUUUGCCUGAAAACUAAAUCCUUAUCCGGGAAGUAUAUUCCCCUCUCAUCCUUUCGGAUUUCUAAAUAUAGUGCAUGAACAUUAUUAUGUAACAAGACACAGAAUGCACUGCUCACUAUUUUGACUCUCGACUAAAUUUCGUGUUCGAUAUUUUUUUUUUUUUUUGGACGAAUUCUUCUUACAA